rnacentral:lncRNA from 1 species
AGAACAACAUAAACAGAAAUGUUCAAUAGAAAAAAGGAUGAAAAACAGAAAGUGGUAUUAUUAAGCUUGUCGAAUCCUAACAUGUCGGAUCAACAAAAUCGGCGAAUUUCGAAUCACCUAUCUUACAACUGCAGGCUAGGUAAGCAAAUAUACAUCAAUUCUGGAUCCAAACUACAGUACAGGUAGCUGUUGCUUAUGAUUAUGGUCCCUCUAUCUCUAUGUAUAUUGCUGUCUCUAAAAGAAUCAAGAAUUCCCCAAUCAGAGAUUAAACCACAGGAUUGAGCCAUUACACAUACAUCCCCCACACCAGUAGAAACAGCUUCUUGCAGUACACGUUUUACAAUUAUCCGACUUUUGUAUUGUUGUAAUCAAACGAACCUUGUCGAGUUCCUGUAUGAAUACCCAGGACUGGAUUUACUUUCCCCUUGUAUCUGGAGCAGAAGCAUUGUCCUAGCAUUGGAUCCCCCACUAUAGUCAACAAGUGAAUGAAGUUCCUAUACCAGAUUUCGUGUCAAAAAAUCAUUAACAGCGAGACUGGCAUCUCCAUGUGACACAGCAUCUUCAGGUUCUGGCAUAUAGAGAGUUGACACAGAUGCCUGCGCAUUUAGGAACAAAUGAACUGUCAGCGUAUAGCAUUUCACGGAAGAAAACAAAAAAAAAAAAAGAAAAAAACCAAAAGGAGUGAACAAAGUUUGGACCAAGUUAAGGUGCUAAUAUAAAAUCCCCUGAUCAUAACAGAUCUACAUAAACAGUUGCUAAAAGCAUCCAUCCCAUAAAGAAAGAAAUAUAAUUCUAAAUAAUCAUUUAGAAGAGUGGUUCUUGAACAGCAGAUUAAGAGGAGCAGAAGAAUAAGAAGAUAGAAACCCAUUUAUACCAGAUUGGGAACAACACAAGAAAAAUCAAGAAAAUGUUGUCUGAAGAAUGAAGCACAACCCCUAGGGAUAAAUACUGCAGAAGAAUUCUUUUUCAUAUUGAAAGUCUCCAACAGAAAGGAGAAAGGAACCUGAACUUUGUGAACCAGUUACGAGUGAUCCUCGGGUGUUUUAGAUUCUUUUUUUAUUUCAUAACUGAGAAAUCCUCAGUGUGUAAGCUGGCCGAAACCCAGUUAGCCCACGGGUUCAAAACUCAGCACAGUAUGAGCCCAUCCCUCUACGUUAUACAUAUAUACCAGGUACUAAGGGUGUUCAUGGAAAACAGAAAAACAAAAGAAGAAAUAGACAUUUUUUGGUUCGGUUUGGUUUUGGUUUUGGUUUUAAAUUUUAAAAACUGACAAUUUGGUUUGGUUUUGGUUUUAAGGAAUAGAUAACCGAAUCAAAUUGACUACAUAAAUACCUUAGUUAAAAAUUAUGAAGAGUGUAUUUUUAUUCACAAUUUUUAAAAUUUUACGGUACAAAUGAACUCAAUCCCAAAAGCUAAGCCCAUGAAGAAAGAAUUGUCCAAGAUCAUAUAAGGAGACCAAGGACCCUUAUCCCACCUAUGUGAGACUCCAACACUCCCACCCAUCACCCCACAGGCCCAGAGCUGGACAUUUGGAGCGUGGACAAUAUAAGACAAAACAUUGAAACAAGGAAUUGGGAUGGAACAGGAUCUAAUACCAUAAUAAAGAAAUGGACCUUGGGCAUAACUCAACCACAAAAGUACGUACAUGAGGUGAGGACUGUCCAAACCAUAUAGAGAGACCACCGAUCCCCUUUACCCUCGAUGUGGGACUCUUCACACACGCACCCUUCACAAACAAGAGACAUAUGGAGAGUGGGCAAUUUUAAUAUGGGGUCCAGCAUCGGAAAAUUUGAAUUGAAAUGGGUCCUGCUCUAGUAUUAUGUUAAAUGGACCUUGGGCUUAACUCAACCCCAAAAGCUAGCUCCGGGAGAAUCGCCAAGACCAUAAGAAGAAACCAAGGACCCCUUAUCCCACCGAUGUGGAACUCCAACAUAUUUAUUGCACUCUUGGUUCAUAAUCUAGGUAUUUGCUUUAUACUAAUUAAAUUAUUUACCUUUACUUUCUAGUUCCCAUUGUAGUCUUUAUUUUGAUAAUUACAAGAUUCUAUUUCAUGUUCAAAAUAACUUCUUUGUGAGUCCUUUAAUUAUUCAUCAUUGUUUAAUUCAAUUAUCAUCGAGAUAUCUUGGUAAAUCACAACGUAAGAAGUUUUAUCAAGUUCCUUUAAAUGGCUAAAUUCCUGGACAAUGCAUACAAUUUUCUCGAAGAAGCUACAUAUAUAACUUGUAUAUAUAUAGUUCUUUCUUCCCUUAAAAGAGUAAUUGAUUUGGUAAUGAAAUGUUGAAAAUAGUUUGAUCUAAUAUGUGCUUGGAGGUAUAUUGUCAUGCAUUUAAAAAACAGCAAAAAUUGAACCAACCAACAAAAACUGAAGCAAUGAAAAAACCAACUUAAUUGGUUUGGUUUGAUUCCAACAUCUGAAAAACCGACUUAGCUGGUUUGGUUUCCUUUUAGAGGCAAACCAACCCAAAACCGAACCAUGAACACCACUACCAGGCAUUGACAUGGUUCGAUCUCGUGAAAUGUGCCGGAUUGAUUGCAUAACACGAGCAUACAUCAUUGACAAGACCAGAAGGCUUUACAAAGUUUGAUCUAGAGUUGAGGGGUUUGACCAAUAUUAACCAUGGUAGACCAGUGUUAACUAGGAGCUGACCAAGUUUUGACCACUAUUAGAGUUUCUAGGAUGAAUCGAGAAUGGCUCCACACGUCCCACUAGCCCAAGACUCAUUUUGUUAUGUUAGCACUUCUAUUUUCUUAAGUACUUGGACUUGGGCCCAAGCCCAUUGUUUAGCUAGUAGUAUUGAGUUUGAGUAAUGUGCAUUUUUUACCUAGUUUUGAAUGAUAUGUUUGUGAGGCUCUAUAUAGAGACCUUUUGGGUUCUUGAAGAACUCCUUGGGUUGCUAUUGAAGGUGUAUCUUCCUCCAGUAAAUUUCAUAUCUUUGGAUCAAUUGUUAGAGGAUGUAAGUAUUUUCAUAUACUAAUUGUGGCUGAAUUCUAUCAAUUUGGUUCCUAGAUCCUAUCUUUCUAUCUCUUGUCUUAGUCUAUUCUUAUUUGUGAAUUUUCCUUGUUUGCUAUUUCUUUCCAUUGUCACCUAUCGACACAUCCAUACCAUGCUACUUGUAGAGCGGUUGGCAUUAAAUACUUCUGUAUAAAUCAGGAGGCAACGCACCUUUGCAUCAAACUGCAUCUCUCCAGAAUUAUCGGAAGUGAGGCAUGCACCAUGGGCUUUCAACCAUUCCACACAAUCCUCAGCACCAUCUGUGUCCUCGAUUUCUUCAGUUGUUGAUACAACACUUGUGAAGCCUAGAACCUGGGCAAUGUAGGUGACUGGAACAGUAGGCCGAUUUGAACGAGACAUACAUCUAACAGCCGCAUAUCGCAUUUUAUCGGCAUAUAGAUCUGCAAAGACAAGUACACAUCAUCAAAUUUAGCAAAAAAAAUGCAAUAGCUAAAUUAUCAACCAUUCAGAACAAAACACACCCAUAAGACACGUGUUAAGAUUAGGAGCUGUCUUGUAUAAUCUGAAGUAGGCAACAUAGUUUCCAGUGGACACAGCUGCUCGAACUGAUAGAGCAUGUUUAACAGCAUCGUUCUGUCUAGCCUCUGCUGGUAAUCUGGAAAAGGAAAAUGCACAACAAAAUAGUUUAACAUCGCAAGUUUGAUAAGAGGAGGUUUUCCAGUAUGUAUUGACCAUAUUUUGAGCAGAUUUUCUCAAGCUACCAGCACCAAGGUGUAUGGAAAUUGAAGCCAGAUAUACUAUGAGUUUGACAAAAAUAAUGGAUUAAACCACAGAAAGACUACAAUUCACUUUCCCUCUGUGGCACUAGUGUUACCUUUUGCAAUAUAAAAUAAACUCCUUUGAGCUAUAGACUAAAUUGUGACAUUUGAGAUUUCUAUUCAACUUAAACAUAACUACAUAAGUUGAUGCCCUUUUUUCUUUAUUCUAGGUUCACUUGAAAGGUAACUUUCCAUCUUCUCUUCACACUCUCUGUCUUCUGCUUUCUUCCCCCUCACUCCCUUCCUCACUAUCACACCCCCAAAACCCAUCCCUUCCCACCUCAAGUCUCUAUCUUCUUUUUUCUUUUGGUUUUCUCCUUGCAUAACAAAUUAAGAUGAUCAGGGGAAUGGACACACUCCUAAAUUAAGCACCAGCUUAACUGUUCUGAUUUAGCCUAAACUUUGACAAGCUUAUGUUUAUAUUAAGGUCAAAAAUGAAAAGGUAAUAAAGUUUUGCAUAGAGGUCAGGAAUUAAAAUGCACAAGUCUAACUGGCCAGUGAAUAGUCAUGCAGACUCAUAAGUCAUAACUAGCAAAAGAUAUGAGUUGGUGAUCCACACUGAUUGAACCUGUUGCAUAGCUAAGUCAUAACUAGAAGGAAUAAACCAUAGAGGAUUUGUCAACAUCUGUCUGCUGCAAUUUAACCUCACAAUCAUCAUUAAGGUUGCAGGAAGCAAGGAUGUCACGAAUGAAAUUAUGUUACAUGCAAAUCUUACCAGAUCGCCUCUUCUUUUUUUUUUCUUCCCUAUUGCCGUUGCAGAUGCCUAAAAAGGACUAACCAGAGGAACAGCAAAAGUACUUUGGGUGCUCGCAAACCAAAGGACAGAAUAGAAUGGAAGCAGAGAAAUAAGCAACACGACAAGACUUACAAAAGUUUCACAAAAAAGAACGCAAGAAAACCAGUAUAGUAAGUAGCUGACUGACCUAGACAACGCUAAUAGCAGAUCUCUGUUGUUACUAGAGUGCAAAAGAACACAGAGUAGAUUAUAUGCAGCAAAUUCCAUAUCACAUCCCUUGAUUCCUUCUGCAUAAAGCGUUUUUAGCUGCGACUGACACUGCAUGUACCAGAACUAGGAGAGUAAGUCUAAGAGUAACACUGAAGCAGAUAAACCAAUGAUGUCUUCGCAGCAAAUUACACAUUUGUUCAUGACAUGUCCAAAAACUUUGGUCUAACGCAAUUCAAUAUUGCAACUGUGCCAGCAUGCAUACUCAUUUAAAACAAGAAAAAAAUUGAAAAGUUUUAAAAACAUAUCAAGGUAAUAGUUCAGAAAAAAACUUUCCAACACAACCAAACGAUUUUAGGGAGGAGGUGGGGAACAUCUACAUUUCUUUAAUCAAAAUACAUAAGCAGCUAUACAUAUAAAUUUACUGCUCAGAACACAAUGCUGCUUUGCGUGUUGACAAAGACCAAAGUAGGACGCUAGCAGAAAGAAUCUGCAUCUAGAAAAGAAAAAGGAUAUAGGUGAAGCCGGAAAAAUGUGGGCAGUGAUCCAAUCAAGUAAUGCCAAAGUACCAAUAAAGCAUCAGGAAGGAGUGACCCAACAUUAGUAGUAAACACCAACAGAGACAAAAUGCCAUUUAUGUAUCCACAUAAUUCAAAAUAAGGACUUAUUUGUGGCAUAAAGUGGACCAUUCUUAUACCAGAAGUGAACCCUGAAAGGGCUAUAAGAACUAUAAUGGCAAUACUAACAAAUAAUCAUAUUGCAUUUUACCAGCUAAACUUCCCUUGCAAAUGCGGGUGUAUAAAAGGAUUUGGACCAUGGAAAAAGGUAGCAUAAAUUGUCCAUAGAGAGCCAAAAACAUUUCACCCUGAUAUACUUAAACUUCUGGAUUGGAAGCCCCAGUAAGGGAUUUCACUCUUAACUAAAUUCUAUAAAUUAGUACAUAAACUUGACUGUAAAAAGGAUCCAGCAUUCACUAACAUUAAAACAAAGAAGUGUCCAACUGAAAUAUAAACUGCAUGGAAGUACUUUCAAACACACUAGCAUACAAGAAACUUCAGAGAGGGAUUAAGAUUCCAAGAAGUUAUGACAAAUUCUGUGAGUUCCCACCAUGGAAGGAGAUACCUGAUUAUAUUCCGACAAGUCCCCAACUUCUAUUGCCAACCGACCAUGUGUUUCAUACACCUAAAACAGAAGGCGGGUGAAGAAGAUAUUAAUACGAAAAAAUAAUGCAAGAUCUAUUGUAAAGAAAGUUCAUAUCAAUCAUUUUCAGAAAAUAAAUUCAGUUCCUAGAAUUGCCAGUGUAUAUGAUGAUGAAAAUCUUAUGUCUUGCUCCAUUUGAAUAGUGAAAUUAGCAUAAGGAAAUAUACCUUGACUGUUAACUCGUUGCGUAUGCGUUGGACCGUAAGAUCUUGCCGUAUUGAUUUUAACUGAUCACAUUUGUAAAGGUAGUUUUUUGGAGAAGUUUGAACCAUGUUUAAUGCUUUUUCUAAGACUUCUUCUGGUCUCACCUGCAAAAGCAGAAUUACUUUUGAGAAAUCAUCAAAACUUGCAAAGUGAAAAUUGUCAAUAGAUAUAAUGCAUUCCCCUUGAAUCUUAAGUAACAACAUAAAGAAUCAACAGACUACCGUUGCAGGGUCAGGUGCAGAAGUAAGACGUAAGUAGCGUUUCUCAAUUUCCUGGCAGGUUCCUUUGACAGUAAGAGCAUCCCAAUCAAUAUCUUCAACAGCACAGUUACCAUUUUCCUCGAUGUUUUUGCUAAGCACCAAGGCAGUAGCCCUCCUUGCAUACACAUUUCCAGCUCCUCCAUUUCUGGAUCGAUUAUCAUUAGCAGCUAUGCGACUUCCAUGCCCUCUCUCAAAACGCUUUGAUCGAUUUUCACGUCUCCUUCUUUCCUCUGGUGUAUCUGCCGCUGCUCCUGCAGCAGAUUUAUAGGCUGAUUGACUUCGUUCCUUAUCACUAUCACUGGAUGCUUCACCAUUAUCUGUCGCAUCCAUUCCAUCACCAACACACUGCCUCUUAGCUGGCCUAAAGACAUCAGUUUUGGGGGUUUUCCGCUGUGGUAAAGAAAAUUUCACAUGACUCGAAUUAUUCACCUUGUUAUCUGACUUUCCACCUGAAAACUGUAUGCAAUCACUCAGAUGAGAGACAUUUUAUUUGGUCAUAUGGAUCUAGUGCCAAACUGACGGAAGCAAAAGAUUAGAAUACCCCAGGCUUUAAGGUUUAAGUAGCACUAAGCCAAAAAGACCAGUAUCAGAUGUGCCAAUCUCAUGUAAGAAAAAUCAUAGCUGGAUCAGGACAGAGUUCCACUUGUGUACCUAAAACAACAAUUUAACACCCCUUGACACAGUAAUAGAUCCAAUGUGAUCUUGCCUAAGAAGCUGCUUUGGUUCAUGCGAUGCAAAGAAAAACAUAGUAUGCUACCUAACCCAAAAAGUAGUCGCUGGUUGAUUCCACUUGUAUCAUACUAUUAUGCUCUAAGAAACCUAGACUAAUAGCCUGUUUGACCAAGCUUAUGGAAGGCCAAAAAUGUGUAUUUUUUCUAGAAAGUGCUUAUUUAAAAAAGAGUGAAGUGUUUGACUAAGCUUUUGGGAGAAAACAAGUGCUUUUGUGAGUAGCAGAAGCUGUUUUUCACACGCUAAAAAAACUAAUUUCCCCAAAAUAGCUUCAAGAAAAAAACACUUAGAAGCACUUCUAAAAAUCUUGGCCAAACACUACUUAUUACUCAAAAGUGCUUUUUAAAUUUGAUGGCCAAACACAAACUGCUUCUCCCUAAAAUUACUUUUUUUUUUUUUUUUUAUAAAAGUAACAGUUAGUCUAUAUUUAUCCACAGGUAUACUACCUCAAAAGUGUAGUUCCCCUCCAAAAGUGUUGUAGUUACAUAGGCUCCUAUACCUACCAAGUUACAGCCAGUCUAUAGUUGUGCUGAUUACUUCUGAGCUAUCUAAGACUACUUGUUUACACCAAAAAUAAUACAGAGCUAAACAGUUAAGCUUAAAUCUUUGUAUGUUGCUCUGCUUUCCUUCAUGACAUCUCUGGUUCCUCUCUAGCCAUACUGUCCACCAUAGUCAUGAUGGGACCAUCGUCCACCCUAAAAUUACUUUUUUGAAAAGCACUUUUCAAAAUAAGUUGAUUCCAAUCUCUGGCACAAUAAGUAUGAUAAAGAACUGAUAGAAUUGAACAUAUUUUUUGGUUGAUACUACGCACAUUUAGAUUUAUCGAUCACCAAAAAAUAAGGGGACAAAAUAAUCGGGAUAAGUAAACCAGGGAAGGAGCCAGAAUAGAAAGUAAAGUCAUGAAGCUGGAGAAUCCUGGUGCGGAUAAAUAAGCCACUCGGCAACCUAGACCACCUCUUUAGCUUCUUCAUUUCAAGCAAGAGGCUGAAGUUGGUGAAAAAUAGAAAGAGAUAACUGUAAAACCUUUUAUCUUCAAAGGCAGAAAACUAUUACCUGUCUAUUCCAACUACCAUACUUAGAAGCAUCAGGAGUGACUGAUGCAGGUUGGACGGUUGGUUUUUCCUCUACUAAAGGCUCCCACCUACUUUUGUAUCGCCUACUGGGACUUCUUUUACUUUUUGGAGAUGAAGAAACUGGAGCUGAGAAUAUUACUCUUCUGCAGAGAAAGGGAAGAAGUCAAAAUAGUCCUUGAAUUUGAUAAAAGAUAUCUAACUAUGAGGGAAAAUUCAUCAGCAUAAAGGGGAAAAGGCUCAUGUUCAUGAUUAUGUUCCCUAAUCAGGGAAACUACACUAUAUACGCAGAAGUGUUUUGCUUUUAACUGUUAAACAAAUACUUCAGCAAAAAUAAAAAUGAAUGGGAAAAAGGAGGAACAAGAAGUUUGUUUCUAACUACUGAGGCAAAAAUUAUUACACUAGCUGUAAGAUAACAACCAUAUGCUAGGUGAAGUACAAAUGCAGAGACGAGAUACAGUAAUUGACAUUCAUGCCCUAUGACAGCUACUUUGGUAAGUCACACAUGCGUGCAUUGUAUAUAUUUAGAUUUUUGUGUGAGCACACAGCAUGUGCAUGCAUAAGGUUUGCAUAUCAGUUUUGGGAAGAGUAGAUAGCAUACUCCUUCUUAUCUGCAUCCACACUGGACAUGGGGAAAAGAGGCUCGGUGUCCCAGUCUCUCGUAUGAAGUGUACCGUCAGCAGUUGCCUUUGUGAUAAUCUGCAGAUUAUGGUACAUUUAAGUAACAGAGGGGGCAAGACAAAGAACCACGCAUCAAUAAAACGACAUAUCAUUAUAGUGCAAGUAAAUCAAAUGUUACUCGAUCAACUAUGACUCAUUAUGUUGCAAACAGCUCAAACAUUACUCAAUAAUAUCAGCACUGACACUACUGUAGAUGGGAUGCAAAAUAAUAGUUAAAUAGAAGAGCCAUGAAAGGACGACCAUGGCUAUGAAGAGUUGUACAAUGAGCAAUACAAAUUGUACUAUGUACUUGAUCAGUUGAUCUUAUCUUAUUUCCUUACCAAUUGCCUCUAGACACAUGUAAUAUAAUGGGUCCAUUCUCUUUAUAUCAUUUCAAUUUAAUUGUCCAUUAUAAAUUUAAGGCAUAAUACAUAUAUUGGACCCUAAACUUGGCUUCAAAUUUUAACUUUGACCUCAAACUUUCAUAGUGCACAAACAAGCACUUUAACUAUCCAACCUUUUAAUAAAUAAACACGCAAGUCAUACGUGGCAAAACGCGUGAUAUGCACGUAUUCUGCGCGAGUUAGGAGUAAUUUGACAACUCUACCACCCCAGAUUCCGGCCAAUCUCCGGCAACCCAAAACCCCAUUCAUUUUCUUCUUUUUCAGGUAAAAUGCCACCACCAAAUGACACCCCCAAACAAGUGAACAAACACAUCCAUUACUCCUCCCUUUUCCGGCCAGCAAACACCACUUGAAACCACCCAAAACCUCCAUUCAUUUUCUUCUUCUUCCCUCCAUUCACGCCACCACCAGCGAGCCGGCUUCAACCUCAAACAACCAGCAGCUCCAAACUCCAAACACCUCCAACCCAGCCAUUCUCCUUCUUCCUCCACACCGGAGCACAACCCAUGAAGCGAACGAGCUUCGAGCUCGCUAAACCCACAAAAUACCCAACCCCAAACCCAUCAAAUCCACCAUCUCCGGCGAGAAUCAUCACGAAACAACACUGCUGCAACCAGCAGCUCGAACCAGACACAAAACAGCAACCAAAUGACCCCCCAAACCCAUGAAAAUAGACCCAACAACCACAAACACCUAAACCAAGAAGCCAGCCAUCAACAAACCUCUAAGCUCCGUCAAACAAUGAGCUCCAAGCUCUAAAAACCAUUAGGAGGAAUUAAUUUUGAUUCUUGUAUAUAAAUUAAAAUUAAUUUUGAUUUUUUUGUUCUAAAAUCGACGAGUAAAAUAUUUUAUUAGUUGGCAGCCAUUGAGUGGCUCACUAAUACACGUUGGAGCGUUUGCAUUUCACGCUCUUUGGCUGCAAAAAUCGCGUGUUUAUUUAUUUAAAAGUUGGAUAAUUAAAGUGUCUAUUUGUGCACUAUGAAAGUUGGAGGUCAAAGUUAAAAUUUGAAGCCAAAUUUAGGGUCCAAUAUAUGUAUUAUGCCUAAAUUUAAAAUGUCAAGCCAUUAUCAGUUUCAUUCAUAUUUUGUGGACCCUAUUUGUCAUUCAAGCUUUACUAAAUGUCAUCAACAUACUAUAUGUUCAAUCAAAUGUAAUAGUAAUAUAUUUUUAUUUGGUCCAAUAAUUUUUCUUUCAAACUUGUAUUAUAUGUAACUAUAAUUCAUUUAAAAAAGAACUUUAUUAAAAGACAUUAUCAAUUAAAUCUAGAUAGAAAACUUACAAACAUAACUUAUGAUUUGAAACUACAUGUAAUGAUUUUUCACUAGAGACAUAAGUGACACAAAUACUUUUAAGUAUGUAUCAUCUAACCAUGAUCAAAACAUUUAAAACUAAUAUUUAUCAUGCUAACAAAGCUAAAACAGUAUUCCAAUAAAUUUCAUUUUCAUCUUUAAGAUAGACAACAUAAACAUAGUUUUACUCAUAGUUUCUAUUAUUUUGUGAUAUACAAAAAAAAAAAAACUAAACAGAAAUGUUGUCGUGUGUUAGAUAAAAAUGGUAUUUUAUUAUUAUUUAAUAAGAUGAAUUAAUUACUUGACUUAAUAUAUUAAUAGCUUAUUAAAUUUGCCAGUCAAUUUUAUUUCAAUGCUCGAACUAAGACUUGUUCCGAUUGAACACCUAAACACACGAUAAAGUGUUAAUAUUAGACAUCUUUGGUAAGAUUUUGAGGGGGGAAAAAAACUGUGCGCGUGUUCACAAACGCCUAUUAGCUAUAGUUAUGUUAACUACAUAAAAUAUGUCAUCUCAUUUAAUUAUAUACAUCUACCCCAUUUGGAACAUCCUUGAGGUUUAUGACUUGUUGAUAUGAGGCUAACACAUAACUAAAGAAUGUGACAUUUCAUAUCCAACACAUGUUUAUUAUUUAAUUCAAUUUUUGUGUAUGACAUAAUGUUUAAAAAACAUAUUAGAUUUUUAUUUUUAAUUUUUGAUAACCGAGAAAUCCGUCUGUGACCCGCCCUUUGGACCAAUCACAGCCUUCUAAUCUCAGUGGAUAGUGUGCCCGCCCCUCUACCCUUCUCCACUUAAAUACCGGGCUUCGCUUUGCAUGGUGUGGGGCUUGAACCUGCGACCUAAGCCACAAAUCCUCCACCAUUUGCCACUCGAGCUAGGCCUUUGGGGGCAAAAAUAUUAGAUUACAUACUCUUCUAAUGUUAGUUGUGGCAACUUAAAUAAAUUACGCAUAAUUUUUUUUAAUGCCCAUUAUCACUCUCUAUUGUGUUUACCUGAAAAUAUUAAAAAUUAAUUUAUUGUUUAAAAAUAUAAUUGACCACGUACAAAUACAAUUAAAGACUGUAAUGUUGGGCCCGUUAACGGGCCUAAUUAUAUCUAGUACUUCUCCGUUUCAAAAAGAGUGGCCUAGUUUGACUUGGCACGAAGUUUAAGAAAAUAAAGAAGACUUUUGAAGAUUGUGGUCCUAAAUUAAAGUUAUGUCAAAUGUACAAAAUUGCCCUUUAAUCUUGUGGUGUUAAACAUGCCACGUGUGGAAAGGUGAAAGUAAAAUGUUACCAAAAAAGGAAAGAGGUCAUUCUUUUUUAAACAAACUAAAAAGGAAAGGAGAUCAUUCUUUUUUAAACAAAGGGAGUAAUAGUUAAGGCAGAAAGAUCAUUGUAGGUCACAAACUUCAUAAACAAUACAAUCCCAACACUCAAGUUAGCAGUUUGCUUCAUCACUGCAAUCUGUUCAAUGUAAUAGGCUGCUGCAUGAGUAGCUAAUACAAAAAAUAUUGAGGAAGGGGGAGGGUUCUGACAGUAGAGACAUCCCUACAAGUGCAAAAAGAAAUUUCAAAUCUUAAAGCACUUGCACAUUGAAUACAAUUGAGAAUACAGUCUUGCAACCAAAGAAGUUACUUAUCAGGUAUACUCAGGGUUAUAUUAUUUGGACAUAAUAUAUAUAUAUAUAUAUAUAUAUUCAACUCUUUACUUGAACUCGACCUCCAUAGAUGAGUGAAAAAGGGAAGGCUGUGUUUUUGUUUUGUAUAUAGCAAUACCUACGUGGUGAUGUAUUUAUGGAAUAAAAGUACCAGCCCAAAAGAAAAGGUAGAGAAAAGACGGAAGUCUUUUCGUAAAUCAGGUUAGGAAAACAACAACAACAAACCCAAUGCAAUCCCACAAGGAGGGUCUAGGGUGAAUUAAGAUUUUAUUGGCUGCAUUAUGCAUUUCAAUUCUAGGUGUUCAUCAAUGAAUUCCUCGUGUGUUUUCUCUAGCUCUAUAGAGGUAAAAGGAGGUGCCCUGUGUCCUAUUCUACCCUUCAAAUUUGCCAUCACGAUUACUGAUGCCACAGAAAUACAAAACCAAAGAUGCUGGAAUGAUGUGAUUGACAAGUUCAAACUCAAGUUGAAAACACAAGACAUGCCCUCAUCAGGACCUAAAACUAACUUUUUGUCACUUUACCUUAUCCAGAGCUGUGAAGCAGAACUGAACACGCCAUUAAGUAAUGAAUGUCAACUAGAAACAAAUAAACAUGAUGUGGACGGUGAAAGGAAGCAGAUUGCUAUCAGAUAUAGACCUACUCUAAUGUUCUUAUCAGAAGCAUCUUCUAGAUGCCCACCACUGAGAAAAUGCAUUACGGACAAAAACAACCAGCAUAAUUAGGUUCUUGGUACCCAUUAAAGGUAAAAACAAAAGCUCUAAGAGGUGGGACAAGUAACAAAGGGUGAAAUGUUCAUAUAGGAAGCAGUUGAAAACAUUAAAAAGGUCUCGGAAAACAUUAAGAUAUCUACUAUAGUUCCCUCAAAGGCUCAGAACAAAAAAAUCACCAGGAGGACUUCAAUCUAACAGGAUCAUACUCCAGUACAUAAUAUAUAAGGAACCUUGGUCUUCAUUCAAAUCCCAAAUGUAUACUUGUGAGCUGAAUCAAUCAAUCUGUCGAACCUCUAAAAUAUUAUGUUUUAUCCAUCUUCAAAUCCCUUCUGUUGGGAAACGUUAUGUCUAUGUAGUGCUAAAAACCCAUAUGUUAUGUACUAUAAAAAUGAGUAUUCAAGUAAGUUAUCAGUUUCAAAAAAAAAAAUGUGUAUUCAAGUCUCUAAUUUUAAUUCUUUCUAAAUUUUCUGGCAACAUCAUCAUCGAUGCCACUUCACUUUUUGAGCCAAAUUAGUGCUCUUCACUCUAUGCUCUAGCAAUUCAUAAAUUGGAAGUUACUCAAUUGCUGCUUGCUAAACUGGCUAUAAAGCAUUAUUAUCUCCGUACAAUCUGAAAAUUCUUCAUUAAGUCUCGAUAAUAUCUAUGCAGUAUGCAUUACAUGGCAAGAACUGGAAAACGACCAAGAGAGAAAAUCUCAAAAAUACACUAAGAUACCUCCUUCAUGACAGCUUGGGAUGCCACCAUUUGAGUAUCAUCCUUGCAACGAGCCAAAGCCCUUUCAACAUAACCACAAAGUGAUUUAGGAAAAGUAUCAGGCUGCAGACAACAGAAAGAUCACUUUAGUUAAGCAAGGAAAAUAAAUAAUCUGACACUUAUUUGAUGCAAUGCAACAAAAAAUACCAUGUUACACAUGUCACCAUUAUCCCAACUAUAUAGUCAACAUUAUCCUAACUAUGUAGUUACCACUAGAAUAAAAUACCAAGGUUUCUCAGAUUGUGUGGGGACAACGGUACAAAACACAACCAAGGAGCAGUUAAAAAUUUCAUCAAUAAAACCUAACAGUUGAACUGACAAUCAUAACAACAUAGAAGAUUGCAUCAUCAAAGUAUCAUAUAAAAAAAGCUGCUCCUUAGAAGUUCAGCAAAAUCAGAAGUCUUACCAAUAUCGAAAUUUCCUGUAGAAGUGAUUAAACCAAGUUAAUACAAACCUACCAGUUUAGCCAUAAUAACUAUAUCAUUAUUUCAACAUCAACUUGAAAAAGAGAAUCCAAAAUUGAAAAACCCGUUAAGAGUAUUUCAAGUGAAAUAAUUGCACUCAUAAGUUCUGGCUUAGAUAGUUUGUAUAGUUAGCUAGAGAUUUUUUUUGUAAGCUCAAAUGACAUAUCUUGUAAAUCUUGCAUCUUCUUGAUUAUGUUAUUAAUACCACUUAUCUUAUCAAAAACAAAAGUCCUCUGCAUAACUAUUCCGCCAAUAUCACCCAUAAUAUAAACCUUCCUUACUAAAAGCACACAGAUCAAAGAAAAUAUGGACCUCCAGGCAUUAAAUUUAGUUAAUCUUGCUAGUAUUGAUAAAACGAUACCACACACCAAAUACACUUGACAAGUCACUUCCCAAAUGCACUUAUACAUAUUAGACUAUUGGAGGUUCAUUGGUUAUUUAUAGGACUAUAUUAUCAUUCUUGUCAAACGCAUAGGAUAAUUUGCUAUUAAUAGGAUUUAAUUAGCUUAAUAUCAUUAUUUUUGAAGAAAAAGUUCGGCAAGUUAUAUGAGAAGACAGAUCCUAAAAAGUGCCACUUAACCAAGGGUGUAAAGAGGUCUAAUCAAUGCAUAUAUGGAAGUUUGGAGAAUGGCUGGCCCCUCCAAUUGGUAAUUUGGUUUUAGAUGAAGUGAGUUGUUUUGUUAAUGGCAUCAAGUAGAUGCAAAUAUAGUACAAAAGAUAGCAAGUACACAAAAGAGUUUGUUAGCUCCAUUACAAUAUGUACUCCCCUCAAAUUGGUUAAUGCAUUGGGUUUUCAAAUUUUCUCCGACAAAUUAUCCGUAAUGAUUCCUCAUCAAAAAGUAUCACUUGACCAGUUCUAAGAGAAUCUUACAACAACAUACCCAGUGCAAUCCCACAAGUGGUGGCUGGUCUAAGAGAAGCUUACAACAAACAUAAAGGAACACUAGCACAGAAAACUUCUAAUUGACUAUCAAGAUGAAAGACUAUCAAGAAGCAAGUGAAAACUUUAUCAUCUUAGUCAAGCAUCUAAACUCUCCCCAUCAAUUAUGCAAACUUAUGUUACAAAACUCAAUUUGUGACUGCAUGUCUUGCUGAAAUGAUCAAAGUAAAAAAGGUGUCUGACCUUGAGAGCAUUAUCUGCAGCAUUAGAUGAUACUUUUUCAUUAGUUUUUGGUAAGGAAACGCUGACAUAUGCAGGCCUGGCCGCUGCAUUAGUUGUAGAGCUUUGCAUAUCCAGCUUUGGUAAUCCCAUGGUCAUGGUUGAAGUUAUUCUAGGGUUUGUGGGAAUCUGUAGUUUGCUAGCACUGCCUGUGUCUGCUGGUGUAACAGUUUGCUGCACAGUGGGCAAGGAUGACUGAUAAUUAUAGGGCAUCUGAUAAGAGGCUUGAUAUUGUGUGCUUGGUCCUUGGGGACAUGAAGAACUUUGUUGAAGGUUUUCAUGAGAAGGAGUUAUGUCUAAAGGCUUUUGACCAUAAGACUGCACUGGAUCAGGUUGCUGAUUUUGGAAAGAGGGAGCCCAAUGUUUCCAGUAACUAUCAUGAACAUUUCCACCUACAGCAGGAGACUGACCCAAAAAAAAAAUUGAAAGUUAAGGUCAUCAGGCUAAUCAAAACGAACUCCAUAAUGUACAUAACAUGAAGGGAAAGAGAAAUGAAGUUGCUUUUCUCAAUGUACUGAGUAUUGAAAAGCAAAAAAAAAUGAGGCACUGACUGCAAUGACAGUAGAUAACAUGUCUUCUUCUGGUGAAUAGCUGGCACUCAACAACUCGCACAAGAUAGAAGUUGAAUAUCCAGAUUAUUAAACGUAUAAUAAACACGAAGUUAUAUUUAGACAGCAGAGUUAAAAGAGCAUACAAGGCAUUGCUUACCAGAUCUUUAGCAGCUUGUUGAACAAAAGAACAACUAAAAUAGCAAAUUAACCUAAAAUAUGAGUGUAAUACAUGAUUUAUCACCAUCUUUUCCAUCUCUUUGAUUACUCAACAUGGUUUUGAAUUUUAAGAGUGUUUGGAUUGACUUAUUCUAAGUAGUUUUAGGCUUUUAAGCUCUUUUUUAUUUUUGGAGGUGUUCGGAAAAGACAAGAAGUGUUUUAAUCACUUUCUUUUAGGCUGAAAAAGUACAAAAAUAAGCUAAAAUCCAAAAGGGUAUUCCCAACUUAUGGCUUUUAGCUUAUAAGCUACUUAAAAAAAGUCUAUCCGAACACCCCCUAAGUGAAUUACAUGACAAUUGAUAUUCACAUAGGAGUCUCUACGCAUGCAUAAAAGUCAUCUAUUAUAAGUAAAACUCCAACAGAGUAACUUAUUUGUGAAUUGCAUGUAAAGGAAACACCUGCACCGCAGACAAUGCCGGCAAACCAGAUUCUGGCUUGCCAGGUGGAGCAUGAGAUGCCGGAGCCUGGACACCUGAAGCUGAGUAUCCUGCAGGAACAGGGCAACUCAGACUGGAUACAUUAGAAACGGAAAUAUUUUCUGUUCCAGGAGCACAGGGGACAUCAUUUUGUGUAUGGUUGUAAUAAUCGGCCCAUUGCUUGUACUGUUGUUGAUACUGUGAAGCCACAGGAGCUGUGGUAGAACUGUAUGCAGCAUUCGAAUCAGAAUUGUAGCUUGGAUACUGAUGGGAAGUGUAUGUUGCAUAUUGUCCUUCAUGCCACGCGUUCGUCUGGUUAUUGUAAGCACCACUUGUGUAACCUCCAGAUGUCUGGUAAUCACCAGGAUUGUAGUAAGUGCUUGAAUAACUUGCAGGCCCAGCAUAAGACCCUGUAUUCUGUAAUGAGGAAAGGGGCUGAUAAGGAGCACCUGUAUUUUGAUAUGCUCCUGAUGGCUGAGGAUAGGAUUGAUUAGGUUGUUGUUGAUAGCCAUUAUAGUAAGCAGCAUAUCCUGUAUUGUUGUAUCCAUAAGGAUCAGUACUUUGAUAGGUUCCAUAGCUACUGUAAUCCUGCUGUACAUUUGUGGCACCGGAACUUGGUGUAGUAGCACUAGUUGCAACAUUCAAUCCAUCUUGAACAUUCCUUGAAGGCGGCGCAGCUUGUUGGUCAUGAUCAUAACCAGAAUGUGAGACAACUCCAUUUUCCCUGGCAUAGCUAUCUGCACCAUGAGCACUCCAUGGUGCAACUGUAGAAUUUGGAGGGGCGUAAUAUGAAGACAUGUGAUGUUGGUUUGGAUCGACAGCCUGAUGAUUCUAUGUAGGGAAAAAAAAGGAUUUAAAGUCAUAUAAUGAGAAAUCAACUCACCUAUCCAGAACAAAGUAUAGCAAGAGUGGUACAUGAUAUAGUUGCAAAAGAAUAGUAAAUAUAAGCAAGUUAAAAGAGUUUGGUGGCUGAGAGAGGAGAAGCAUUUAACGCUUUCACCAUUCAAGUAAAGAAAACAUUUAAUCAAUCAACGUGUACAAUGACAAAAUAUCAAACAUGUAGUGAAUGUCCUAACCAUAAAAGGCAAGAGUACACAGUUUCGGCUCAUAAGAAGCAGUUUCUCAACAUAAGGAUAGUCGGUAGUCAAUGCAUCAAAUAUGACCUUCACAAAAUAUAUCUACAUUGUUACCCAACAAUGUCCACGAUAAGCUACUUGAACAUAAACAUGCCACACCAAUUUACCAAUAUUAGUAUAGCCCCUCAUACUUAUAUUGAUGGAUAAAACAGACAAGGCAUCUUGAUUUACUACUUACAAACAUCACCAGCACAAGACUGUCAAUUGUGUCUCUCCGGUAUCAGAGUGACUUGUCAUAGCUACUUCAUCAAGAACUCUAACUUUUGUGUAUAUCAUUACUAACCAUUAACAAGUUGUACAUACAUUUCAAAAAGGCAGUGUUACUAUGUGAGAAGUAAAACAACUUUUCUUUAAUUAUUAUUUUUCAAACAAUUAUUUUUUUUUAUUUUUUUAUGAGCAUGGUGUCCGGGCUAGCUUUCGAGCACCUCGACUCAUUCCACAAGAUAUCUGCCAUCUCCCACCCGCAACAAAUACAGGUAACUCUGUCCACUAAGGCUAGGCCAGAUGGGAAGAAUCACCUAGUGUUUGCUUUGUCUCCACUGAGUUUUGAACAUGAGACCACAGGGUUCUCAACCACUUUAUUGACCACAAGGCCACAACCCUUGGGUGCUAUUUUUUUCAAACAAUUUUAAGUACUUCCUAACAUAAAAUCUUGUGAUUUCUACUGCUUCUUACAGUUUCUAAAUAUACAAAUGUUAUCUAAAAUACUCUAAAUCGAUGUCCAAAUUCGCACGGACUAUUAGAUGACCAAUGGCAGAUCCAAGUACGGGUUCGUGGGCUCAGUAGAACCCAUAGGUUUGCGAUCGAACCCUAUAUUUGUGUGAAAACAGGUACAAAUAGAGUUAGAUGUACAUUUUAGAACUCAUCCUUCAACUCAAAACCAAGUAAAACCAACAACACUUAUGUUCUGAAUCUCCCACUAUGCUUACCCACAUAAUCCUAACACAACAAUUCUUUUUGGUAUUGAUGGAGUAAAUAUAUAAAUAAUAUAAGAAAGAAAAACCAGCAGCAGCACAACUGAAAAACUCACUUCUCUCACAGAAAGGGAAAAAACUGAAACCUUCCAAUUCCAUCGGCAUCAUCCCGCCAUUAUCUUAUGUUCAUUUUGACAACAUCAUCACAAUUUACAUAUAUUAAGUAUGUUAAAAAAAAUUGCAACAAGCAGAAAUCUAUAUGGACCAUAAUGUCAUAUAUUUUUUCCAGAAACGAAGUUUGGAUAAGAGAAGAGGAAGUACAAUUCGGGUGGUUACCUCCUGUGAACUGGGAUCCAAAGUGGUCAUAGUAGCACUUCCUUGAUUCAUCAUCCUCUCAUUAACAUCCUGCUUAACCAAACAUUUCAGUAUUUAGAUAUCUAUAACAAAACCACCACACCACACAAGAAAAAAGAUAGUCAUAAGUUGAAUUGCAGCCUAAUGGUUACAACUCCACCUUCUUACAUUCAUAGGUGGUUCAAAUCCCACAAAAGGAUCCUUUUCUACACUUCUAUCCCGACUAUUUAUGCGCCCACCCCUUACUCCAGCAAAUUUUAUGCAAGAAAGAACCUAGCCAGGACUAAAACUGCAGCCUAAUCAUCACAUCUCCACCUACCUAUGUCACAAGUGCAGGAAUCCAAACCUACAAAGUGGUUUCUACAUUUCUAUUCCAACUAUUUAAGGGCUCACCCCUCACUCAAAAAUACUUGAAAAAACAAAAGAGAACUAGAAUUACAGCAUAAUAUGCAACUCCACCUACCCACCAUUACAUGAGCGGGUUCCAAUCCCACAAAAAGUGUCCUUCAUAAAUUUCAUCUAGACUAUUUGCAAGACCACCUUCAACAACAACAACUACGCCUUAGUACCAAACAAGUUGAGGUCCACUAUGCUUUGGAUCCUAACUAUUACAUGUGCAGGUUCCAAUCCCACAAAAAAUGUACUUUUUAAAUAUCAUCUCAACUAUUUGCAAGUCAACCUUCAACAACAACAAUUACUCCUCAGUACCAAACAAGUUGAAGUCGUUAUCUAACAACUAAAGAGCUCAUAUAUCAUGCUUCCAGCAUAUACUGAUACCAUAAAUCAGUCAAACAGUAAAUAUCCUACUUCUACCCAUAUCAUAAGUGGUCGUCAUCUCACUUGCAUAAAAUACCCAACACCCUUAACACAUCCGAUAAGCAUUUACCAACACAAACACUUGCCUUAAGUCUCAACUUGCCUUAGCCCAAAGUACAAAAUGUCAAAUUACGGAUUUGUCCAUUCACCAUGUUUAUAGGUCCAAAAAAAUGGGGGGAAAAAACUAGCUAGAAUUGGAACUACAGCUGCAACUUUUCCUACAUCAAUCAUACUUUCUAAUCUCACAAAAAGGGGCUUUUUCUAAUAAAUUAAAAUAAAUUGGGCAAAAAAAAAAAAACUAACCGAAAUCUGAACAAAUUGAACAGCUUGAGCCUUCAAGGAACGAAGAAACAAUCAACCUCGAACAAAGCAACACCCUUAUAUGUAUUACCAAAGCAAAUUGAGACGAAAAAAAACAAAAAAAAAUAUGGAAAAAAUUGGAAAAAAACAGAGAACGAUUAGCAACGAAGAACGAUUACAAAUAUCGAUUUGGUAAGAAACUACAGUAUAAUAUAUGAUUCGAAGAACAGAAUUAUUCAAUGUUGAAGAAGAGAUUUUUUAUUUAUGAAACUAACGUCGGUAGAAAAAAUGAAAAAUGGAGAUUUGUGUGUUUAUAUAUGCGUAACUUGAUUUUCAGUAGAAACAAAUUUCAACCCGAUUGACUUAUUCGGGUCGUAGUUUAGGAGGUCGUUUGAGUUCUUUUUUGCAUUUUUAGUUGUUAUAAUGUAUGAUUGAGUCGACUAUGUAUCAAAAAUAAUUUUUUAUCCGUUAACGGAUAGGUAAGAUCUAUUUAUAUUAUACAUUCUUCGAAUUUCAACUGUGUAACUAUAUGGAUAUAUUGUUGUUGUUGUGUAAUAUAUUAUAGAUGGUUGAUUUCUCGAUUUUGUAAAUCUUUACUGAUUGAAUGAAUUAUUAUUUUUUAACAUUUUUUAUUUAUUAGUUUAUUGUGUUGUUAUUUCAAUUUUUUGAGAUAAAUUAUGUAGUUUAGAAUAGAGUAUAUAUAACAUGUUUUUGAUACUAAAGACACUUAGUCAACAUAAUUAUACAACUAUCGCUUAGAACAAUAAUUGAGUAUCACAAAAACAAUUGAGAUGAGAAAGAGAUCACCGAUGAAAGCUUUUAAAUAGCUAGAAUAGUACCAAACAUAAUAAAUAUAAAGAGUACUAGACAUGGAUGAAGUGAAGGAAGGGGCACAAAUAAUUUGCAGAAAAAGUAUUUUAUCUUGUUUAAUUGUUUAGGCGUCACGUGUUGAUUCGUGCACUUUAUAUGAGAGAUUGUCAAUUACGUGUAUAGUAAGAAGUAAUCCUUAAUAAAUGUUAGAUGUUCAAUUGGUCAGAUUCUUAGCUUAGAUAUCUAAACAAAAUUGUAUAAUUUUCUAUUGUCCGAGUUGGAGGUAGAAAUACAUCAAGAUUUUGUGUGCUUACUUAUAUUGCUUUUGAUUUUCAUAUUAUGGAUCUUGGUUCGCACUUUAUGGAAUUUCUACUAGAAAAAGAAUCCAGACAUUUCUCAUUUACCUAUUAUGAAAAACGUUUGGACUUUGUCUCUUUUCCUUUCGUUCUCUUUCUUCUUUUAUGAAUUGUUAUAAAAAAUGGCAGACUGCGCAACAAAGGAUUCGGGUGGGGGAAGAGUCUACCUCCUAUAUAUCCAACAACAACUAAAUAAACGGUAAACUUGUAAUUUCUUAAUUUCGAUAUAAAGUAAAUGAGUACAUCAAAAUCGGAUAUUUGUGCACUUCGCCCGGGGAAAAAUAAAGGAGGAGGAGGAGGUUUCACAAUUGGGGAAAACUCAAUGGGCUUAGAGUGAGAAGCCCACUCCAUGAAACAACAAAGCAAUAAGCCCAUAGCUGUUGAGGCCCAAACACUAGUUAUAAAAAUCAGAGAGAGACUACACUGCUUACUCUUUUGAACGAAUUGGAUCUAGGGUUCUUACAAUUUUCUGUGCCUUCUUCGAUCUACAGGUAAGCGAUUUGUGAUUUUGAGACCUUUUUCUCAUAUUUUUGAUAAAAAUAUCUUCUUUCAUCAUAGAUAUAUGUGCGUGUGCAUAAUUCAUCUAGGAAUUGCUAUUAAUUCCGAGAAAUUUGGAUGAGAUUGUGUUUUUUUGACUCGGAACAUUCAUUCAAGAGGUGUUUUUUUUCGUUUCUAGUUUUGUUUGAUGUUUUAUGGAGUUGGCGUUUGUGCUAAAUUCAUUUGAAAAAAAUGUAAUUGAGCUGUUUUUUAUUAUUAAGAAGUCAUAUAAUUUGGGAAAUGAGCUAAUUGGGUAGUUUAUCUCGGUAUGAUGAGAAUUUGUACUAUAUCUGUGCUUUUUGACCUUGAAAAUUCAUUCAAGAUGCCUUUUUCAGUCUUAGUUUUGUUUGAUGUUUAUUGAAGUGGCAUCUUGUGCUAAAGUGAUUGGAAAAUAGUAAAGAAGCUAUUUUUAUGAUUAAGAGAUCAUAUAAUAUGGGAAAGGGGCUAAUUGGGUAGUUUCUUUCAGAGAAGAUGUGGUGGUAUGAUGAUAUUUUGUAUUAUAUGUUCUUUUUGUAGUUUUGUUUGAUGUUUUAUUGAGCUGGCAUUUUGUGCGAAAUUCAUUGGAAAAAAGUAAAGCAGCUAUUUUUUAUGAUUAAGAGAUCAUAUAAUCUGGGAAAGGAGCUAAUUGGGUAGUUUCUUUCAGAGAAGAUUCUGCGGUAUGAUGAGAUUUCGUAUUAUAUGUGCUUUUUGUCAUUCGAAAAUUCAUUCAUUAGGCAUUUUUUCAGUUCUAGUUUCGCUUGAUAUUUUAUUGAGCUUGCAUUUGUGCUAAAUUCAUUUGCAAAAAAGUAAUGGAGUGAUUUUUUUUUUUUUUAUGAUUAAGAGAUAGUAUAAUUAGGAAAGGAGCUAAUUGGGUAGUUUCUUUCAGAGAAGAUGCCGCGGUAUGAUGACAGGUAUGGUGGCACGCGCCUAUAUGUUGGACAUUUGUCAUCCCGAACGCGAUCUCGAGACUUGGAGGACGUCUUUAGCAGAUAUGGGAGGUAAUUUUUUAACCAUUCAUUAGUUUUAUGCAGUGGUUAUAAACAUUGUUAAUCCAAUUUGAGUAGUUGGAAAUUGAGAUUCCAAGAGAACAAAGAUUGAACUUUUUAGUUGUUUAUUUUUGGUAGUGGAAUGAAAUACGCCUGAGUAGAAUAGAAUGGAUAUAAAAUAAAGGAUUCAUAUGGUUGAUCUCAACUUGUCCGGUAUUAGGUGUUGAUUGACUGAUUGCUGUACCUAGUGAUUAUUAUUGUGAUCAUUUUUCAGAAAUGAUGUUGCUUCUAGUAGUUCACAAUCUUUGUUCUUGGAUGUAAGGUGAUCUUUGGGGGUAGAGAUGAGACACACAAGUCAUUACAGUGGCCUUUGUUUUUUUAAUUUGUAGAAAAUGUGUGAGAGCAACACCCCGUGUCUUGGUGUUUUUAACUCGAAUAAUGUUUAUGAAGGUUUCUAUGUUUUUGCCCAAUCCGGAGGUUUGUGGUGGGAGGUUGCCCUUGAUGGAAUUGGUUCCCAUUCUUGCGGAGUGUGGCGAUUCUUUCUAUAAUGUUAUUGCGUAUUUUUUUGAUGGAAAUGGCACAAUCCAAAAAGUGGUGUUUAGUUCAUCUUUGAGGGGCGAAGUAUCAACCCUUUGGUUCUUAUGACUUGAUGGCCUUACUCUUUCUGGAACCCAUUUACGCAGAGUACGUGAUGUGGAUAUGAAGCGUGACUAUGCUUUUGUGGUACGCACUUCUUUUUCUUUCUUUUUUUCACUUCUUCAUUAAUGAUAUUUAUUAGGGUUGUAGGGUGAUCAUCUAAUCCUUGUUUCAUAUAUUUGUGAUUUAAGAUUCUCUCUCUUCUUCAUAUACUGCUAAAUCUAGGAGUUUAGUGAUCCUCGAGAUGCCGAUGAUGCAAGAUACGGCCUAAAUGGGCGAGAUGUUGAUGGAAGCCGCGUUAUCGUGGAGUUCGCCAAAGGGGUGAGUAACAGUUUGGAUUUGAUGUGUUUGUAACUGCAAUAUGCAUAGUAUCUUUAUGUUUUAUUUGUGCAACUCUAGACGCGUGGACAUGUGCAUUUUGAAUAUCAAUGCAAAAAAAAGAACAACUAAAAAGAAUUUCAGGCUUUAUGCCCAAUGAGUGUUAAAAUAUGGUGGAGCUGGUUUGAACUCAAUUAUUUUGGAGAUGAUGCUUCGGUUCUCAAUACAAGUAUUUUACUCUACAUUUGGCAUGUCACAGAGGGGAGAAAGAUGAUCUUGGUUUAUCACUUUUCCUUAAAGUAGUUAAGUUGCUUCAAGGAUUUGUUUUCUUGGUAUUUUCAGGAGUUAUGCACACCUUAAUCUAUCUAAUGUUCCAGAUUGGUUAAACAAAAAAUUGUCCUUUUUAUGUUGUAAUUUACUUGCAUUGCAGGUGCCUCGUGGUCCAGGUGGAUCUCGAGAGUUUGGUGGCAGAGGUCCUCCUCCAGGUACAGGUCGUUGCUUUAAUUGUGGAAUUGAUGGACAUUGGGCUCGAGAUUGUAAAGCUGGGGACUGGAAGAACAAGUGUUACCGCUGUGGAGACCGAGGUCAUAUAGAAAGAAACUGUCAGAACAGCCCCAAGAAAUUGAAGUAUUUUCCUAGUUGCCACCUUAUUUCACCCUGUGUAUUUUUUGAUGUUCUAGUAUACUUUAAUGGUUAAGGUUAUUAUUUGUUAUUUGAAUAACAGACGUGACCGAAGUUAUUCCCGCUCACCAUCUCCUCGGCGUGGAAGAAGCCGCAGCCGCAGUUACAGCAGAGGUCGUAGCUACAGGUCUCUCACUUUGCUCCUUUUUGGAAUGUGCUCCAUUUCACUUCAUUGACAGCUUUAGUCUUAUGUUUUGAGAUUCUGAAUUGGCAUUGUCACUCAUGGUUACAACGACAUACCCAGUGAAACCCCACAAAGUGGGGUUGGGGGAGGCCUUAACAUUGUCAAUCAUGGCUGAAAACUUGAAAUAAUACCAUGGAUAAGUAAUUGCAUUUGUCCUUUCAUAGAUGUAUUAUGUGGAUAAUAUAUGAAAGCUUGUAUUGUUAAACCAAGAAAGUGUCAUGUUAUGGCAUCACCUACUAAGUGCUAACAGAUUCUGGUUAUCUCAACUAACUGGCCUUUAUGGUAUUAAAACGUAUUUGUACCCAUCACUUUAUCUAUCUAUACAAAUAAACAAGAUAUUAACAUAUACUGUGUUUGAUUUCUUUGCAGCCGAUCCAGGUCUCCUGUGAAGAGGGACCGUAGCAUUGAGCGUGAAGAGAAGAGAUCAAGGAGUCCUCGCCAACAUCGGCCAUCACCACCUCCAUCAAAGGGAAGGAAACACAGCCCUUCACCUGAUGAAAGAAGUCCACAAGAGAGAGGUACGCCAUCACCAAGGGAUGAUAGGGCAACCAAUGGUUCUGACCGCAGCAGGAGCCCUAAAGAUGAUGCUAGAAUGGAUGAACGCGGAGAUAUUAGCCCUGUUGAAGAAAAUGGCCGUAGUCGCAGCAAUAGCCCCAUCCAUAGGGAGGACAGAAGCCCAGUGGAGGACGGCAGCCCAACAGGUGACUAUGAAAAUCAUGGUUCUCCAAGGGGCAGUGAGUCACCCUAAAAUGUGCAUAUGAUACAUUGUGGUAAGUUAAUGUUUGACUCACAACUAUGCAUAUGAUACUGUCAGUGUGGCAAGUGAAUGUUUGACUCACAACUAUCUCAUCCUUGGCACUUUGAUUUUGUAGUAUUUUUUCCCUAUAUUUGGAAACCAUGUAAUUGAUUUUUCUUAGAAUGACCGGAAUUUGAAACUGCCUUGCACAUGGUGUGUUCUAUUUUUGAGACUACAUUAAAAACUUGCUUGGUGUUAUGUGCUUCAGCUUGAAUUUGAUUGGUAUCCUCAGAACUCUGUUUGAAAGUGAUCUGUUGUGAGGAGUGGCAGAUACCAGAUAGAAUGAUUACAAUGAAACUACAGGGUCGUGUAUGUUAUUUAUGCAGCUGGCUUUUGGUGUCUUUUGAUCUGGUGUUGGGAGUGGCAGAUACCAGAUAACAUGAUUACAAUGACUUCUGGUAAUAAUAUGUUAGAGUCUCCUGGAAAAUCGUGUCGGAGUUCAAGAUGUUAGACAUGAAUCUUUCUACGUAGUACGUAGUACUCGUAAAUUUGUUUUGAAUCAGUGUGGAUAUUGUGUUGUGAAUAUCAAAAACUCCGAGAGCAGUAGUUGCUUCAUAGGGCAACUACUAGCUAUCCUUGCCGGAAGUUUGAGUUUUCACUAAGGAGAUUCAUCAGUAUAUAAAGAAGUAAUCACACGAAAAAACUAAUAUAGGAUCGAGAGGGGGGAUAUGUUGGCUCCUCCCCAAUCGGACGUCUUAUCAUCAUAUAACAAAGUGCUAGUAGUGUGUCAAACAAGUUCAACAUCAACGAUUUCCCAAUACAAAUCUAAUAUUUGUACUAUGGAAGUCAUUAUAUGCCAAAAGUUAAAUUCGGAACCUAAUUAUUAACACUUGAUGUUGUCGUUCUAGAAUUUAGAAUUUUCUAAGUUUGAAUCCUGGCUAUACUUUUGUAUAUGUCAUUACAAAUGUAGGUACAACUAAUCAAUGAAGUAAACACUAGUACAUAAUUUUUUCUAUAUUUUGAUGUAUUAGAAAGUUCUUCUAUAAAUUAUUUAUUCCAUGUAAAGCCAUUCAAUACAUAUAAGUUGCACCACAUGUAGAUCACUAAAACAAAAUUUAGUACCAAUAGUAAAUAUAUCAAGACACAUGAUUCCCAAUUCAUACAUGAAAAGGCACCAAAAGCAAAAUAGUCUAAAUGAUAAUCAUCAUCACAUAGUAUGAUUAAGUCUUUUUUUUAUCUCACCUGGUUCUUGACAAUAAAUUCUAUUUUACUACAUAUAAAUGCUCAAGAGUCCUGAGAGGCUACAAAUUCAGAAUUUGAAUUUCAUAAUUUCUGAAUAUUAGAAAAUAUAACAAUUUAUUUGGUUUUGGAUGAAUCAUUUAUUUAUGUUAGUGGAGUUUUUAACACUAAUGCAAGAAGUUGGCCAAAACUAUUGAGUUAUGUCAAGGAUUUAGCUAAUAAUCUAACUCCGCCUCUGUGAUCGGUGACCCCAUUGCUUUGAUGGGAAAUUAUUUUAGACCUGGUGUGGUCCAUCCUUAAUGGGAGCUAAUUAGAUGGUUGACGUAUUAUUUGUUGGAACUGUAGUGAACAGAGUUAUCAAAUACUUAUAUCGUUAUAAAUAAAUAGUUCCACAUACUUUAACUUUGAUGAAUAAAAUUAUUUACUUUUAUCUAUCCUGAUAGAAAAUCUAAUAUCUGAUAAAAUACACGUAAAUUGACUCGAACUUUACUAUUAUAUACAAAAGAAAAAUUAGAGAGCCCAUCACGUUGAUAAAGAAUAGGAUAUUAGAGUGGAAAAGCUAAAAGUUAAUUAGUCAUUAUUCAAGGCUUUUGCAUCAUUAUGCAUCACAAAGGAAGAACAUGAACAUACAUAAUUGCCAAAUGCUCCUUCCCACUAUCUUAUCUUUCUCAUUUUAUUUUUUAUACUCGGUGUUCGAUAUUUAUAUUGAGACUCAAUUAAAUUUAAAUUCGUCCAAAAAAGUUUCAUAUUAUCGGUAAACACUAAACCGUUCACUAAUAAAGAUCGAUGACACCAUAUCAGGAAAACUCAAAUUUAAAAUCUCUAAUUAACAAUAAAAAAUUUUUUACCACUGAUCCUUCAGACUUUCUUUAGAACCCCUAUUAACUUUUUUGCAUGUUUCUUGGAAGUUGGAACUAAUAAAUAUAUUUAGUGAAUACUUGAAGUUUAAUUAUUUUAACGAAAGAUCCAAAUAUAUCUUUAAAGUAUUCGAAAUGAAUAGCUAUUGUACUUCAUUUUGCUCAAUUUUGCUUAUUUUAGGAGCACAUUAAAAUUAAUUUGAGCCAUGAAAAAAAAAUGGUCCUAGGUAAGAAAAUGUUAAUUGUUGAUAAUGAUUUUUAUUAUUUUAAUCAUAUAAGCAUAGAUUCGAUCAGUUAGCAUGUUGGAUCAUACAUUAAUUAUAUUCCACCAUAAUUAAAACCUAUAAGAUAUUGUGUAUAUUUUCAAAAAAAAAACUCAUUAAUUGGUAACUUAAAUAAGAAUUUAAUAAUAUCGAUUUUAAAAUAUGAUCAAUCAAAGAUUUUGACUAGCUUAAAAUCAAAUGAAUCACAUAUAUUAACAAACUAUUUCAUGAUAAUACUUGAUUAUAGACCUUCUGUGUGAAACAGAAGUUCAUUCACUUGGCAAAUAAAGUGAUCACCAUCUUUUUUCCGCUUUACCAAUCGUUUUUUCCUCACUAAUUGAUCAUUUUCUUAAAUAAGUGAUCACACGUUUUUAGAUUUUUGCUUUUUCUCACUUGUCAAUUUUUCUAAAAAGAAACAAUGCAAAGAACGUAAUAUGUUCUUUUCUCAACCCCCUUUUUUUCUUCAUACAUUCACUCUAUCCACUAAUUCUUCAGCCACAUAUAGUACCAUGAAUGGUCGAUAUCGAUAACAACUUCUAAAUUAAGUGAUCUUACUCCCUUUAACUUUGUCAAAUGCUUUUUCUCACUAAUCGAUUUUUAUAAAAAGAAACGAUGCAAAGAACAUAACAUGUUCUUUUUUCAACUCCUUUUAUUUUCUUCAUACAUUCACUCUAUCCACUAAUUCUCCAGCCACACACGGUACCAUAAAAUGAUCGAUAAUAUCUUCUUAAAUAAGUGAUCAUCCUCUCUUUAACUUUGUCAAACACUUUUUCUCACUAGUUAAGUUGUUAAAAAAGACGAAAUAAAAAAACAUUUUCCUUUUAUUCAACAUUAUUUUUUUCAUACCAUCACUCCCUCCACUAAUACUUCAGCCACACAUAGUACCACAGAAUGAUCGAUAACAACAACUAGAUAAACAUGAAUAAUGAUAUUUUUUUAAUUCAAAGUACACUUCAAUUGUACUAAUAUAAGUUGUAACUGCAUUAUAAUAUGUUUUGUAAGUACUUACAUUAUAUAUUUUUUAUUAUUAUAUUUUUAUUAUGAAAAAUAAAAGUGAAGAAACGUCAAGCUGCACCACUAAAAAUGUGUAGUGGAUGAGUCUGAUUCUUUCUUAAUCAAAAGUUUUGGUUCGAGCCUGGUUAUGGAAUUUUUUUUUUGAUAGGGAGUGUUACCCUUCGAAUGAGGUUUUAACCGACACAAAUUCAAAUUAAUCGGACUCUAAUAUGGAUAUUGUACAUCGAACGAAAAAUAAAAAAAUAAAAAAAAGAAGUCAAGACGCUCCAAAUAAGGCCCACAAGCCCAAAAAAAAGCCCACUAUUCCAACCAAAAAAGGAAGAAAAUAAAACGUUACUUUUAUUUAUUCGGCCCCGCUUUCUCCGCCACAUUGAAAUUUUAAAAACUUUUAUUUGGACCAAAAUACCCUUCAUAAUAUAUCAAAUUCCCUCUAAAUACCCUAUUAGUCCAAAAAUAACUGGACCUAAAAUACAGCAUUUUCAAGAAUUUUCAUACUAAAAAAUUCUCUAUCGAAUUAUUCUUUGAUUCUUCUGAGUUGAACCGCAUAGAUUUCAACACCCUUUUGCCGGCUCUUACUCUGUCAACUGUUUGAUUCAGUAAUCUCUCUAUCUUUUUUUUUGUUUUACUGUGUGUAUUUUUUGCAGUUUUAUAUACAUAUAUGUGUUCUUUGUGUUCUGUAAGUGUUUCGUUUGGUAAAAUUGAGUGGAAAUGUUGAUUAGAAUUGAAUUUUGAUUUGACCCUCCAGAUGGGUUUUUUUUUAGUUACUUACCAUUAAUUGUUGUAGACUGAUUAUCUGUUUUUUCAGAAGGAUUUGUUAAGUUUUGAAGUUCUUUGAAUUGAUCUUGUGCUGUUUGUUUGUGUGUAGUUUGUUGAUUUUCAGUAGAAGGGUGAUUUGGAAAAGUUAAGUUGUAUAGCUUCUUGUUUUGAGGUUUAUUGAAAAGGGUUUAUCUGGGUUGAGAAAUGUAGAUGGAUGAUGUUUGAUAUUGGGAUUUAAGGGUUUGUUCAUUUUUUAUGUUUUACUUCUUUUGGUUUUUGGAGGGUAUAUCGGAAAUAACGUCUUUAUCUCUGCUGUAGGGUAAGGUGUGCAUACAGUUUGGGUUCUCAGACCUCAUUUUGUGGGACUAAACGGGGUAUGUAGUUGUAGUUUGGUUUAUGGAUAUGUGAUUAUUGCAAUUUGAUGUGGUAAUCUAUGUCAUAAAUUUGUGAAGUUUCUUUUAGUUAUCCUGUAGUAUUAAAUAUGGAUUAAUAAUAACAGGUGGAUUUGAAUGAUUAAAGGGUGUUUCUAGGGUUUAACAGGAAUUAGGGUCAGGGGUAGUGUGGUCUUUUAUGUUAUGGUAGACUAUCAUUUCAGAUUGACAGAGUGUGCUCAUUACUGUUCCUGACACUAAUGAUUUUUUAAAAUCAGGAGUAGGAAACAAAUUGAUUGAUUUCUGUGGGGGUCUUUUGAAAAUUUCUUGCUUUUUAAAAAGGGUUGGUGAAAUAAAUGUUCCAUUUGCUUCUCCCUUGCUAAAACUUCAUGGUUACUUAUGAUAUACACAGCAAGCAAAUGUGUUCUACAUUUUCUGCUUUGUGUUUGUUAGUGCUUGAAAACUAAUUGAUCCACUUGAGAAUCUCAGUACUAGCAGGUAAAAAGUUAUUUCUUGGUUGGUUCAAUGAUGUAUUCUCAGUCAGAUUGACCACCUGAACAUGUUGAAUAAAGAACAUGUAUAAGAGAUAUCUUUGUUUUUUAUUUUGUAUGUUGAAGAAGAAUCAUACAGAAGAGAGUUCUCUUGCUUUGUCUUAUAAGUAUUUAGUUAGCUACAAUAAUUGCAUGAAUGGCUGAUUGGUGAGAGUACAUGGUUGUUUAUGAGUGUUUUCUGAUGGUUUUCUUGUAUUGCACUUGUUGUGUCAGUUUUACAGUUGAAAGAUGUUCUUCCCCUUGAUGCGUGUUAGAACUAAAUCUCCUUUUGAAGUUGUUUUGAUAUUAAAAAUUAGCAUAGCUGACCCUACUAUUUGAGAUUGAGGUGUAGUUGAUUGAUUCUUGAUAGUUAAGGUUCAGAUAAGUGCUGUUCCAAUAUCGCUGCAAACUCUUUAAUGAUGCAGUAUAUUCUCAAUGUCCGGAGCACAAUGCGUGAUCUUAACUAGCCUCAAUUAGGCUCUUUAUCCUUUGAAAUCUCAUGGACUAGUUUGUAUGUGCAGAUUCAUGUACAGUGUCCAUACAUAGAGAUGAAGAAAUUCUUCUUUUUCCGGACAUCAUCUAAUGAUGCAAACAACCCUUCACCACCAUCGAAGGAGAAGUCAUCUAACAGUAUUGACAAAUCACAGAGCAGAAAGGAAGUUUCUUCUCCAAGUCUUAGAAGGAGUCUUUCAUUGUCCUCUGGAUCCUUUUACGACAGUGGGUCAGGAAAAAAGAAUUUCAGGGAUCCGAGCAGAUCUCCAUGUCACAAUAAGAAAGUUCAUCCUAAGAAAUCUGGUCGUGAUUCAUGCCGGUAUGCAUCUCAUUUUCUGUAGCUACUUAUUCACACCUACACUGAUGCUUGAGUUUGCAUUUGCUUCUUCAAAGUAAUGACAAAUAUUUCAUAACUUUUGUCAGUGGUCGCGCACGUACUCCUGAGAGGCAACCCCCAGAGAAUUUCUUUCAGAGACAUGAUACAGAAAAUGGUUAUUUGUUAAGGAAGCACAGUUCUGGUGCGUCUUUCAGUACACACCACUAUGAUCCAUCAGAGAGCUCUUCUCAUUGCUCCAGUAACGUCUCUAGUAAAGUUUUAGAUCGGUAUAUAGAUGGGGAGCAAGAGCAGGAAAAGAGGGCCUCAGCUAACCUCUUUCCUACGGAAGAUGAUCUUGAGAUUGGGUAUGCCUGCAGACAGCUGCCUCCAAGAGUUCACCUUACAGGUCCUGGUUCGCCACUAGCUGAUGUCAGGAGGCAGAGACCAAUGUCUCAAUCUUUCAGAGAAACAAAACCAUCUAAACUUUGUUUUACGUCUGGAGAGUUGGGUGAUACAGGUUUUGAGCAUGAAUCUCCGCGAAAACUUGCAAAGAAGGUGGUUGAGAGGCUCUCUCAGUCUCGGUCAAUGGCGAAAAUAAGUUCAGAAGAUUUUGAUUCCGAUGGUCCAAUUACUAUUGAAGAUAUCUACAGUGGAAAUCUAAGUAGAUGUCCAAGUGUAUGUUCUGAUGGUGUUCCCCAGAAGAGCUGUUCAGCAGAUGAUCCUAAUGGUAGGACCUACGAAUAUCACCAUGCAGAGAUUCCAGGCCUUGAUGAGAAAAACUAUUUGGAAGACGAUUCAGAUUUGGUAUUAUUAAGAAAACUUAAGGAAGCUGAGGAGCGUGUUGUGUUGCUCUCAGAAGAGCUUGAAGAGGGAAAAUUUCUUCAUGGCAGAGGCCUUAGUGUUCCAAUGUUGAUUCAGACUAUUAGAAGCUUGACAGAGGAGAAGGUACAAAUGGCUUUUGAAGUUUCAAGCAUGCUACAGGAUCAAGUUGCUGAAAGGGCUUCUGCUAAGGAAGAAGCCAAACUAUUACAGGAAGAAUUAGACUCACGGACACGGAGAUUGGAGACGGAGAAGAAUGAAUUACAAUCAGCACUGGAAAAGGAGUUGGAUAGAAGAUCCAGCGAGUGGUCUCUAAAACUUGAGAAAUACCAAAUUGAAGAACAUAGACUCCGUGAAAGGGUGAGAGAGCUGGCAGAGCAGAAUGUCUCUCUACAAAGGGAAGUCUCUUCAUUUAAUGAGAAGGAAGUGGAUAAUAGAAGCAAGAUAUCAUUUUCAGAGAAACAACUUGAAGAUUUGUCUAAGAGAAUUGAAGAAGUGUCAGAGGAGAAUCAAAAUCUAAGGCAGCAGCUUUCUCAGUUACAAGAGGAAUAUCGAGUAGCUCAAGACGACCGAGAGUAUGUCCGGGAAAACUACCAGGAAAAGGUUAAAGAAUGCGAGGACCUGCACAGAUCUAUUGCUAGAUUGCAACGGACUUGCAAUGAACAAGAGAAGACAAUUGAUGGUCUGCGAGGAUUUUGUGAGGAUGUUGGCAAGAAGACUCCAGCAAACUACGACAACCAGUUGGAGAAGUUGCAAGUAGAGCAAAUAAGAUUGGUAGGUGUGGAACGUGCUCUAAGGAAGGAGGUGGAGUCUUUUCGGAUCCAAAUUGAUUCUCUACGCCAUGAAAAUAUUAGCUUGUUGAAUCGUUUAAGAGGCAAUGGAAAGGAGGGUGGGUUCUCAACUUUUAAGCUAGAUCAGGAAUUAUGCAAUCGUGUUUGCUGCUUGCAAAAUCAGGGGCUUAAUUUGCUUAGGGAGAGCAGCCAGCUUUGUGGAAAGUUAUUAGAGUACACAAAAGAAAAUGUCAGACAAAAUGGGGGAAUUGAUGGUCAAUUCUUAAUUGAAUGCAAUGUAAAGAUCCAGGGUCUUAAGAGGGGAAUUGAAACUCUGACAAGCAGCUUGCAGACGGUGUCAUCUGUGAUAAAUGAGAAGUCCUAUCCAGUAAAUUCAGAUUCUCAGCCAUCUAGCAGGGGUGAUGCAUUUCACCAGCAAAACAGUCAGAAACCAGACGUAAGUUGGUGCUGUUAUUUUGCAAGCUGCCUAUCAUGCUCAUUCGAUGUUGAUUGACUCUUUGUUUGGUGUUGCUUUAGGAAAUCAAGCAAUCAGAGCUCAAAUCGGAGACUUUGCUGACAGCUGUGUUAAGGGAGAAGCUUUAUUCCAAGGAGAUGGAUAUAGAGCAACUUCAGGCUGAUCUGGCAGCAGCAGUUAGAGGUAACGAUAUCCUCAAAUGUGAAGUCCAAAAUGCGCUGGACACUCUUUCUUGUGCCAAACACAAGUUGAAAGAUCUUGAGCUUCAGGUAAGCAGGGAAUAUUAAGAUCUUGCAGCAAGAGAAUAUAUAUUUAUUUUUUUCAACUAUGAAUACCUCAUCUUCAUAUAUGAUAUCUUGUUUGCAUGUUACUUUCUCUGCCUUAGCUUUCUACUUGUUUUUUAUUCUUCUAGGUUCAUCUUUGUUCUAUCUGAAAUUCAGGGUUUUCUUGGUGGAAUUGUAUUACAUGAAUUACUGACAUGUGAACAGUCUCUGCUUCCACUGUGGUAAAUAAUGAGAACUAAUCCAAGGGGAGGAGAAGUCUAUUAGAGUGUUACAGCCUAGGAUGUCCAAUUGCUGCAUGUCAUAGAUACACACUGGACAACAAAUGCAUAACAAAGCUCAUUAUCAUGAGCUAGUAGAAUAAGUAAACUGAAACUCAUUUGGGGUGGGUGGGGUGUAUUGGUUGAACUUCUAAGCUAUGAGUUUGAUGUGAAUUGCUGAAUGAAAUGUUAUUUGUGUUCUUUCUCAGUCUUUCUUCUUUUUUAUGUUUUAUGGUUGAUUCUGGCAGAUGAUAAAAAAGGACGAAAAUAUCAACCAGCUCCAGAAUGAUUUGCAAGAAUGCAUGAAGGAACUUAGCCUCAUGAAGGGGAUACUACCAAAAGUAUCUCAGGAAAGAGAUUUCAUGUGGGAGGAAGUUAAGAACUACAGUGAGAAGAACAUGUUGUUGAACUCUGAGGUCAACACGUUGAAAAAGAAGGUAGAGACACUCGAUGAAGACAUACUUAUGAAGGAAGGUCAAAUCACAAUCUUGAAGGACAGCAUAGGCAAGCCUUUCGAUCUUCUUGCAAGCCCUGAUUCUACUAGAGAAUUUCUGCUGGAGUGAUCCAUCGCCUAGCUAAAGCAUUUUGUUCAUUUGACUAGUGUUCAUACUUACUUGUAUACUUGCUGGUUUUACUCUUUCUCCUUUGCCUUUUACUUUGAUACCUGUUACAUAGAAAGUUUGCUUCUUUCCCCCCUUUUGAAUCUCCAAUUCAAUUGUAAACAUUUCUUUUACUUGUGAAUUGUGAUCAAGCCAAUGAAUUUCCCUUGCUUCCUUCAUAUGAUUUUGUAAAGUAUUGGUUUUUUUUUUUGGAGUAAUUAGUCAGCAGAGGAGAUGUAAAAAGCUUGGAUUCAUUAAUAUAAGUGAAGAUUGGUGAUAUUCUACUUGUGUUUGCAAACUCCGUAUACUAAAUUGGAGUUCGUGUACAAUAACAAUCCUAGCUAUUUGAUGCCGGUUCAUCCACACUUCCAUUCCUUGUAUAGGAUGGCUCAUUAAACUUAGCAAAUUAACUUUGCAUUGAUGUAUUCUUUCACAAAGGUCGUAUGAUAGUAUUUUUUUUUUCCUAAAUGGAUUGAAAGAAAGAAAAAGUUCCAUUUAUUUGACGUGAGGGGAAAAUUAUUCAUAUUUGCUCAUGUCCAAGGUUUAUCAAAUGUAUAAAUUUUAGUUUGACAAAUGUUAACAUGUAUCUUUUGUUCACCAACUGUAUCUCGACUAAUUUCACCAGGUAACUACUUUCCACUAAUACAUGUACUGUCUGUUCACCAAGACUUGAACAGAUAUGAAGAAUUUAAGUGUUUUUUUUGCAUUUGUUUUGGGGUUUAAACUAGAAACCUCAAUUCAUAAUCCUCUUCAUAGACUACUAGGUCACCCUUAGGUGCCUCUAUGCUACUAGCAUUAUAGCAUUAUCACUAUUUCUUUUCCUUUUCACCUUGAGUACUUGGGAGCACGAAAUCCAGGGUGCACCUUAUAGCGAGCAUGAAGCUAACAUGAAAAGGAUGGAUAGCUUUUAUUCAUAAUGCAGACAUGAGAAAAUUCAGCAUCAGUAGCUUAUACUGACAGACAAGGGAUAUUAUGUCAAAUGUAUAUGUAAAUAUGAUAACAACCACAUGAUCAAUGCCCCCUUUAAGCAGCAUAUACACGAAUGGACCAAUGUUUGGUAGCAACGUUUGGUUGAUACAACAGCUACUGAAUGACAUACCCACUAACUCAUACAGACCGAUUCCAGAACUCAGCAGGCUUGCGGUGCUGAAAAAGAUUCAAUGCUACGUGAUAAAAUGAAGAACAACAAAUCUCAAUCUCUGAUAUACAUUUGCAGACUUCUCUUACCUUAGACACUGGCAUCUUUGCUCGGACUGAAUCUAUUAAUGAGAAGUCAAUAUCUGCAACAGUAAUACCUGUUGACGACCGAUCUGAAGCAGAAACAAGAAGACAAAUGAAUUUGUCAUUGGAGGACACUUGAUUAUCAGGCUGUUGUAAACAAACGCGUAAACAGAAAAGUUCUAUGGUUUUUCUAGACUGAACAUGCAACACUAAAAGCAUGUCACUAAAGAAAGAACGAAGCUGAUUAAUGUCUAUAUCACCAUGAAAAGGAAAAAAAGUUGUUUUCCUUUUUUAAAUACUAAGGUGGGUAUGUGGGAACCACAAUCGAAGUAUACAAAAUUGAGAAGUCUACUCAACAAAAAGAACUUGGUAAUCUAAUUCCAGUGUGUUGUCCGUCAUUCCUCAUAUAAGACCCUUUUAAGUGGAAACAAAUCCAGGAACUCCAUUGUCAGCCAAAAGGAUAGUGGCCAUCAGAGUUCAUGUGUAGUAGCGUUUUAUGUGAAUACUUAGAGAAAUUAAUCAUGAAUGUUGUUCCUAAGCUAAGCAAAGCUUCCUCACACCAAAUUUUGCUAUUGAAGUGAAAAACUUAAUGAGGCUUCCAUGCAAUUCCAUUAGACUUCCAGAACUGGUAAUCAAGUGCACCAAGAGCUUGACAUAACAGAGAAAAAAGAAUAAAGAUAGUAUUUGAAGAGGAGAGGGGAUCUUAGUAGUUGAGAAGGUCGAUUAGUUGAACUUCCACCUUGUUGGUGAGAGUUCGAUUCCCACAUUUUAAUCAUCUCCUCCUAUGUAUUAAAAUAAAGGGAAAAGAGGAGCGGGGGCAAGAGCAAAGAAGAAUAAAUUCCAAAAUUACAUGUUAUAGGUGUUAAGAAAAUAAUUGAACUGUCUAUCUAAAAGAAAUGGUCCACGAAUACACAAAUUUUCAAAACAAAUCCAAGUGGUGAAGCCAAAACAAUUUGUAAAAGAUCAGAUACUGGUUUCCAUAGCAGCAAAAUGCCUAAAUAUGGAAUUAAAUUACCUGACAACCGACCAACUAUUGUUCCCCAUGGAUCAAUUAUUAAAGUAUCUCCAUAACUUUCCCUUUUAUCAUUAUGCUUCCCUGCUUGAGCGGCAGCUAUGACCUGUUAAGAGGUUUAGCAUAAUUAUCCACAAGGGACACAAUGGAGAAAAGGCAGAACAUAAUUGAGUUGAUUUCACCAGAAACCAUAAUUGAGCUAGAUUUCACCAGCAAAAAGGAAGCUUAAAUCAUAAACCGGGGAGAGAAAUUUUAUGGUUGCACAAAACAGACAGAACAUAUUGUUGAUUCCAUGAAAUUUAAGACUGUACAACUAAAUAUUUGCAGUUCCAAUCUAGAAAAGCAUCAUGAAUAACCAAAUCGUGUUAAACCAAACAGGUCAGAGUUGAAAUAAAACAGAUAAUGGCCAUACAUAACACUGUGUUUCAAUUGCACGAGCACGAAGAAGAAUCUCCCAAUGUGCCUGACCAGUUACCAUUGUGAAAGCGGCAGGCACUAACAAAACCUGAAACCACAGGAAUGUAUUUUCACUAACUUAUAUUUUGCUUUUGGAGAAAGAGAAACAAGAGGGGAAUCCAUAAUACCUGUGCAUCAUGAUUGAACCUCAGUUGUUGAUACAACUCAGGGAAUCUUAAAUCGUAACAAACGGUGACACCUAAACGACCGAAGGGGCUGUCCACCACAACAAUAUCCUUUCCUAUGAGAUUAGUCAAGGAAUUCAUAAGCAAAAAGAAGUUAAUUUUUCUGAUUAUUAAAUUCUAUACAUGAUUAAUUAAAAGAAAGGACCACUAGAACGUACCAGUGCCAAGCAACUCUCAAGACUGAUUAUUGCGUGGCCAUCUCAUCUAAGAGCUACUAAAGAGAGCACACUUUUAUUUUCUUAAUUAUGUCUCAACACGCCCCCUCACAUGGGGGCCUUAAAUUUUUCCAUGGACCAAGCAUGUUGAAAUUCUUUUUGAUAAUGGGUGGUGGUGAUACUCGAACUCAGGGUCUCUGCUUUCAGGUAUAAGUGUGUGGCCAUUUCUUUUCAAAGGUUAAGUUUUUUUUUAAUAAUGCUAAAAGGUUAAGCAAUUAAAGAGAACACACAUUAUUUUCUUAAUUAUGUUUCAACAAAGACAAGGAUUUUUAAUUUUUUUUAAAAUUGGUAAAUUCUAUUCAUCGGCAUUAAGGGUAUGCUGGCCACCUCCAAAGAGAGUAAUUACAAGCUUCCUAUCAAAUCUACAUCUUCUAUAUGAAGUUGUUUACACCAAAAAAGUAAAGAUACAAUACAAUUCCAUUUUACUUUAUGUAUGGAAUUGGACAAUGAAAAUGCUACAGUAUAAAUUUAAGAUAGUCCAUGUUUCAACUUGGACCACUAAUACUGACCUGUCAAAAAAUUCUGCUAAUUUUAAUGGUAAAAUCACAUAUCUUUUUUGCAUACUGUUCAAUCUAAAACUUACUAAACUAACUAUUACUCAGAAAGCUUUGCUCAUACAAGGAAAAAACUGUCAAGAAGCUACAUCCAGUCUCCAGAUAUUGUCUAAGGGAAAUAAAUGUUAGCUUUGAUAUAUUGUGUUUCCUACCAGCUUCAGUGAAACUGCUCUCUUUAUAAACUGCACCUCCAGGAACAUCCACGUCAAAUCUAUAUAUAAAGCAUAAACCACAAUUAGUGUUCUAGGUAGAUGGAAUUGCAAGGGGUCAUCUUGCGUUCAGAUUGUUCUCAGUGCCUCAUACAUUAAAAUUCUGGAAAGCAAACCUAACACAAUUGGACUUAAAAAGAAAUCAUGGCCUGCAAAGCCCUUCCUGGUCAUUAAGUUUACAUCUUUUUAAAAAAUUUAACUGCUUAGAAAAUAUAUCCAUCUGACUUGUCUAUCAUCCCUUGUCUAAAAUUCGAGACAAAAAUUUGUACUCUAAAUAAUUAGUCAAAUGUUUUACAUAACAAAUGCAUUAUAAGUGGUCUUUACUGUUUAGCGGAUAACAAUAUGCAUAUCUAAACACAAAUUCCAUUCCAAAUCAAUGUUCUAUAAUAAAGAAAUGUAAUUCAUAAAGCAAUAAAGAAACAUCAAGUAAAACAGUUCUCAGAUAUCCUAUCUGACUCUAUGAGGCUAUGCACAUUAGUAUUCUUUAUUCACGGAGCACAGAUGCUUCAAUAACUCAACAUUUAGAAAAUGAUGGUGUAAAUUGUAAUGCAUUCAUUUUGCAAGGAUUUCACUUCUCUUAAAAACCAAAUGACGAUGAUAUCUGGUGUUUUUAAUAUAGAGUAGUAGAUUGUUCAACGCUCAUAGAAUAUGACAUAAGACAUGUAGCUCUUGAACGAGUUCUAGAGUUGCCAGGAUAUUAAACCAACUCUAGCUGUCCAGCAUUAUUUCAUAAAUUGGCUGAUCUGUUCAAACCAAAAACUCAUACAACUUAUAGAAUCAACCUAUUAAUUCUCUGCCACUCAUACUGAUUCACUUGGUAUGUCUAACAUUUCAAAAAUAUUACCACCUCACAUUAGAAACCCAUGGUAAUGAUUGCUGACCAAAACAGAAGCACAAUGUUGUUUACUACCAACAGUAUGAAAGUACUAAACAACUUAUGUAUGACAAUCUUAGUCUAACAUCUAACAAAGUCAAGUUUAAGAGUCUUACAGAUGCAUUUUACUGUAUGUGCUCCUAAUAUUUCCAUUAUCAUCAAUGAGAACAUGAGUGUUGCGCAAGUGUGCAUCGUCACUCCCUUUUUCUUGGAAUCCUCCUAGAGACAACCAAAUAUUUGAUUCCCUGCCAUUAAUGGCAGAAAAGAUGUCAUUUGACUGAAUCCACUAACACUCACUUCAAGUUCAGGAAUCACCAACUAGCUAUCAAGCAGAGAAAAAGAGAGAAAGACAGUAAAAGUCAAACAUAAAAGGGAGUAAUAGAUUGUUAAGAGUAAGACAGUAUGUUGUCACAUAGUCAUAAAGCAUUGAACAAUGCCAACUAAUGAGAGAACAAGUUGUUAGGACAACACAUAUUAACGCUUCUAAAAACAGGAUAAUGUGCAUUAGAUGGAGAAAAGCCAACUUCUCUCUCAUGGUCACACCUUGCAAGAGAGCAGUAGCCAUUCAUAAUAGGUCCAUCUAGGGGCUCAGCAACUGUAAGACUCUCCCCCUCUAGGUCUCCCACAAAAGAGAAAUUUUCAGGAAAACAUAGCAAUUUUGCCCCUGCUGAAGCUGCUUCCUGGGAUAGAAAAUAUGAUAUAGAAUAGUGCAAAUAUCAGUACCAAUCAACAGUAAUUAUUGAGAACAUUUCAGAAGGACAGGUAUGUCGCUGACUUCAUUUACUCAUAACAGUGUGCAAAAUAUGAAUGAAAUAUUAUAAAAGAUAAAAACUUAAGCAACAUCAAGAUAUAUUCCCACAACCGCCAUAAUUCGUCGGAGCUGAUAAGGAUAUUGUUCACAUGAAUCAGUCCGUAUUGGAUCAUGUGAGAGACUUUACUUUUCCAUAGCAAUUACUGCAAUCCAAUUCAGACUACCGGCUUGCAGGUAGUUUCAUUGCACCAACUCAAUGACUAGAGUGGUUGGAGUUCUCAAUUAUUGGGAACUCAUGCACAUAUGAAGGAACAAUUUUACAUUUCAAGAAACUAUAGUUCUUAAGUUGAAAAUAUGGCAAUGUUCAAUGCAGUGUUUUUAUCUUCCUUACAUGUCAUUGUGACAUCAUAACAAAGUAGCGACAGCACGUCCAGAGCACAAAACCAUUUCUAAGCUUGAAAAGCAAAUGUAUAGAUGGUCCCCAAAUCAAUUCAGAACAUUUUCUGACCCAAAAACUGGUACGAAUCAACUAUGUUAGUUCUGCUACCUAGUUGUCUUCUCAAUUCGAAAAAGUACAUAUUUGUGAUUUUGCAAUGUUGGACGUUCCAAUUCUAGAUGCCAAGUUCCAAAUAUCUGCAGUGUUAUCAGAUAAAAGUUGGAUGUAAAUGCUUGAGGAGUUUGUGAUGUGUGAUAAGAACUCGGGUCUUUCCUCCAUGUUCUUCUGCUCCUCCUCCUGCCAUUGGUUUUCCCCUUCUUCUUUUUUCCAGCCUGAACUCAAAUAAAUAACCAGCCUUUUUCUGGACAAUCCAUGGCAAAAUCAGAUUUCAUUUUCUUUUCUAGAUUUCUUCUAUUCGAAGAAAGAAGGGAGAAAGUCUGUUUUUUUUCUUUUCAAAUAGAUGACCCCAAAUGAUUUGAGAUUGAAGCAGACUUAAUAGAUUAAUGAACAUAUGCGAUUCGUGAAGCGUGAGUUACUCUGGCAGGAAAAAGUUGCUCCUACAACAUCACUAGCUUAUAAUAAUCAAACAAAAUCGAAAGUCGACCAUCUUUAACCAACAUUGCCAAAUCAUUUUGCUCCAUAAUCUAAUUCUAACAACUUUUGCAACUUUAGAUAUAAGUAAUCCAAAAAUCAUCACCAAAUUAAGCCCCUACAAAUCCAGCUCCACAAAAAUCAUUUCACAAAUCCUAAGAUCAAACAAGUCGCUUCAUGAAAUAAUUUCUCUAGAAUAUCACUAUCCUUAUGAGAAUGAAGUAAGACAGCAAGUCAACCAUAUUGAACAACAUCCCCAAACCAUUUUCCUCUAUGAACUACUUCUAACAAACUUGAUCAACAACAAAACAAAACCUUCCCCGAGUUCGAAUAUAAAUCAAACUGAAAAUUAGCUCCAAGUUAAGCUCCUACAAAGCCAGCUUCACAAAAUUGUUUCGCGAAUCCUAACAUCGAAUACAUCUCUUCAUGAAAUAAUUGCUCUAGAAUAUCAAUAGCCUUGUGAGAAUGAAGUAAGACAGCAAGUCAACCAUGUUGACCAACAUCUCCAAAUCAUUUCCUCUAUUAGCUACUUCAACAAACUUGAUCAUUAAAACUAAACCUUCCCUGAGUAUGAAUAUAAAUCAAACUGAAAAUUACCUAAAAUUUUUAGCUCCUCUAAAUCCAGCUUCACAAACCGUUUUUCAAAUUUAAUAAUGGAUCAUCUAUUCAUGAUAACUGUAAAUAAUCCAAAAUAUCUGUACUUUUUAGCUAACUAUCAAUGUACACGCAACAUGUGUAUAUCAAAAUUACAAAGUACAAUAUGGACAUCGGAGCUACCUUAACGAGGCGAGAGCAAGUAGCGAAAUUAACGCCGAGGUUAUUGACGGAGGUCAUCUGAGCGGCGGCGAUUCUGACGGAGUUGGCCAUAGCUAUGGAUUUUCCGGCGCCGGUGGAAGCAGAAACCACGGCGAACUUAUAAGGGAAGCUCAAUUGUGCAUUCAGACAAAAUUUCAUCACAAUGUGAACUUUGGAAAAAAUUCAUCACAUUAGUACCAUAAAGAUUUAUUUCAUGUUUCUUUAGUACCAAAUGUAUUUUAUUUUUCAUCUUAGUCCUAAAAAGAAUUAGAUGUAUUUAGUAAACUCGUAAAAAUAUAUUUAGUCAAAUUUUUCACGUUUGAAUGAUUGAAUUCACUUGUUUAUAUUCCUAAAGAUAGAAAAGAUCUCUAGAAAUUAUUUCCGAUUCACUACCCUCUAUAGUCACAAUUACUGUGGUAAAAAAAUAUUUAUCUAGUCAAAAAAAUAUGCUUAACACAACCUAUAGUAUAAUGACGCAAAGGCCCAUAUUCUCUCUUUUGCGGAUAUGUAAUCCCUCUCGACUAUGGUAUGAAAAAUGAGAGAUGUAGAUUUUGUUUUAGAUGAGUGGCCAUACAAUGAUCGUCAGGAGAUAUGGGUCCAAAUGAUUUACCAAAAGUAAAUUGUUAUGCAAUCGUUAAAUUUUUUUUCUUUUACGCGAAUAUCUAUCAAAUCAGAUCACAUGUUUUGAAGUAUGUUGUUAUAUCAUAUCAAUGUAUUCAAGUUUUCUUUUUUCAAUGAUUCCGCUCGUGUCAAUUACUCAUUUCCCUAUUUUAGAUCGUUUUAAAUUUCACGAGGCUUUCUCUCAUAAUAUGAAAAUCCUCACUAUUGCAUCCUAUAAGAGUAUGAAUCAUAUCCCAAUCCAAUGCAGUUAUUCAUCCUUUCAGACCAAAAUACACACCGUCUUGAUAAGUUAUUGUCUCACCAACUAACUAAUCACACACGAGCCCCUCCUUGCGAGAUUUCUCCUUUUGCUCCUCAACCCAUAGGAUAUUAAGCAAUAUCAAGAACAAGUUCUUAUGCAUUACUCAAUCAUUUGUAAAUCAAAAAAAAAAAUUCGUUAUAUUCAUUAAAUACAAUUUUAUUUUAUGCUAACUUUGGAAUACCAAUUUUUCUUUUUCUUUUAUGAUUACUUGUAAAUUGAAAAAAUUAAUAUUUUAAAUUUCUUAUAUAUAAAAAUAAAAACAAAAUUUAUAAUGGACUAUAAAAUCAAAUCUCCUAAAAAUAGAUGGUGGAGUAUGCAACAACAAAAGAACUAGUGUACCAAAAAUAAAGAAAACAAAAAGAAUGAACAAAAACAAGAAGAAAGAGAAGAAAAAAAACUGUUCUUUAUCAUCUUCCUCUUCCCAAAACAUCUCAAUUAUCACUGAGAAGCGUAAGAGAAGACAAUCGGAGAAGCAGAAGCAGAGAAGAAGCGUUUUUUGUUGUACAGAGAGAUGUUGUUUCAAGUAGGAGGACAAGGGACUCGUCCUACUUUCUUUGAAAUGGCUGCUGCACAACAGUUACCUUCUAGUCUUAGAGCUGCUUUAACUUAUUCCCUUGGUGUAAGUUGCUCUCUUUACUCAUUUACCCAAAUGGGUUUUCUAAUUUCAUAUCAAUUUAUCCACUGUUUAAGUAUUUUGUAAAAAAAAAAAUUGGGGUAGGGGAAAUUGGGGGAGUGGAUUGUACUGUGGUGAAUCGAACCCUUACCGAGCCAAUCAACUGAGAUACUAUGAUUCCCAUUUGUAUUUAUGAUAAAAAGACAAAACACUAUAGGUGAUUUUUUCCUAUUUGUUCUAGCCUUGGUGUGGAUGGAGUUACCUGUUACAUGUUGUUGGUUGGAGGUGACAGGUAUCACGUGGAGUACUUUGGCGAAUCAGGCAUUUGCUUCUAUUUCGUUUUCGAUUAUUAUUUUUGAUCCUACAAUGGGAGAACCUAAAAAGCUUCUCUUUUUUCUCUGUCCUGUGGUUUGAUACCGUCUAGCAUUAGUUUAUAUGUGUGCAAGCUAGGCAGAAACCAUGGUUAUAAAAAUAAAUAAAUUAGUAUUGGGAUGAAAUGGGUCCAAGUGGGGUGUAAUGGGUAUUGAGGAUUUGUAUGGUGGAAUUCAACUAGUUUAGGAUUGAGGGGUGGUUGUUUCUUACAAUACAAUUAUUAGUAUUGCAAUGAAUGAGUCGUGAUUAAUAAUGAGGAUUUAGCAUAAUUCAACUAGUUUGAGAUCGAGGCAUAGUUAUUACGAUUGUAGCUGUGCAGCUGUAUUUAGUAGAUUUGUCUUAAAAGAUGAUAUAUUAGUAUUAGAGCGAAACGGAUCAAAGUGGAAAAUAAUGGGUAUCGAGGAUUUGUAUAGUGGACUAGUUUGGAAUUGUGGGGUGGAUUUGAUUAUUGUUUUAGCUGUACUUAUUAGAAGUGUCUUAAACGACAGAUUAUUAGUAUAAACAACAACAUACCCACUGUAAUCCCACAAGUGGGGUCAGGUAGGGUAGGAUAUAAGCAGACCAUAACCCUACCUUUGUGGUAUAGGGAAGUUGUUCCUGAGUUCAAAUUAGUAUAAACAUAAAUUAUUAGUAUUAGAAAGAAACGGGUAAUGAGAUAUUGAUGAUUAAUAUAAUGGAAUUCAACUAUUUGGAAUUGAGGGGUGGAUUUUAUUGUUGUUGUGUAGCUGUGCUUAUUAGAUGUGUCAUAAAAUACAAUUAUUAACAUUGAAAUGAAGUGGGUCAAAAUGGAGGGUAACUAAUAUUGAGGAUCUACGGUAAUUCAACUGGUUUGAAAACGAAGUAUAGUUGUUAUAAUUGUUGUAGAGUUGUACUUAAUAGAUAUAUCUUAAAAGACAAAUUACUAGUAUUGGAAUGAAACAACACACAAUGGAUAUAGAGCAUUUAUAUUUUGGACUCCAAUUAGUUUGGAAAUGAGGCGUCAUUGUUGUUUGUUGCUGUUGUUAUGGUUUUACUGUAGUUAUGUGAUGUGUGAUGGCUAGUGUUAAUCACUGCUUGCUUGCUUGCAGGUUUUAGCUUUAAGAAGACCUUUCAUCCACAAAAUUCUAGAUUAUGAGGAUGAGUGCUUUGCUUUGCUUACGCUAGUUCUUGAAACACAUAGCUUACGAACUACAGGUGCUUAUUUAUCUUUUCAAAUACUCCUUCAUACCAUAAAGAAUGACUGGUUGCUGUAUGCGACUCAAAUGAUCCAAGUUUAGGCAGUACUCAGAUGUUGUUCUGAAUAUUUUCUUUUUCUAACAUAAUGAUUAGUAAUGUACAAACUGUAUAAAAAUACUGAAGUCACAUUUUUCAUGUUUGAACUUAUUUUUGAAAUGCAUAAAAUGACUGUAGUUUUUGACUCUUCCAAAGAGUAAUGCUGAGUAUCUGUUAUUGGGUCUACGACUAGUAUUUUCUUUUUCAUCCAUUCAUGUGUGAUUUCUCUGGUACUAUUGCAGUUUCUGGUUAAAGGUUGAGCUAAUUAUUUGCUUUAGUUUUAGCAAAUUCAUUCCUUUUUUACUUUUUCUCAGAUGGGUCUUUUGCUGAGUCUUUAUAUGGCCUGCGAAGAAGGGCAGUUAAGAUAAAAGUUAAGGGUGAUAACAAAGGUCAAGACGCCAAAGAAGAAAUUAAUCACACUGGGUUGGAGAAGCGCCAAAAAGUUCUUUCAGUUGUGUUUCUGGUAAUCUCUUAACACUUGAAUACUCACUUAUUGAUCCCCAGGGGAUUAAACUGUUAUACUUUCUAUUGGCAUAUACAUAUCUGACAGGACCGAAAGAUUCUUGGGAAACAUAGGAUCCAAAAGUAAACAUACCGGAUGACUAAAACAUAUUCCUAACUAGUUUUUAUUACCUAAAUAGAUUUUUCCCUCCACUAUUCCCUAUCUUUCGAUAGGUCUGCAUUGGAUUCCAAAGGUUUGAGGAUUUUUAGAAACAACUUCUUCCCAUGUGAUUUUAGGCCACCUCUUCCCUUUUAACACCUUCAUUCACUAUGGUUCCACACCUACGGACUUGCAUUUCUGGAGGUUGACGUCCGGACAUGAGCAAACCAUAUCAAGUGACCUUCUCUCAUUUUAUCUUUGAUGUGUGCUACUUGAACUUUCUGCCAAAUGUUGUCAUUUUUAAUCUUAUCUAAUCUUGUAUUGACAGCACAUCUAUCAUAUGGUAACACUCAUCUUGUCAAUAUGUUGGACCUGUAUACUUAGACUUUUCCACACCUCCCAGCCUUGUAAACCUUCUAAGAUUGAAAUCCUAGAAUGAAUUUUCCCUACUCCCUGCAUAUUUCUGUAAGUUUUUCAGUAGAACAUUGAAGAUGUUUCUAAAUGUUGCAUAGAGGAUUUCUGACAGGUUUGAUUUUUGUUAUAAAAUACAGUUGUUACUUGUUACCUUCGUUGCAUAGAAGAUUGUCCCUUUGCCAUCUGUCGCAGAAGCUUACUGUACUCCCAUCUUCGGGAACAUAUAAUAUAAUGGAAUAAAAAACCUGGAGUUGUUAGUGGGAAUCGGAAGUCAUCUGGCUUCCUUCUUGAUCUUCUAAUUGUUUCCAUGAGUAAGGCUACAUAGCAUCUAGUAUAUGUGUAAAGCUGCGACUUCAAAAAUGAUUGCUUGAAUCAAGUUUUGCUGUUAAGUUGUACUGCUUUUGCUAAAUGCAAUGACAUAAUGUUGAUGUGCUUCUUUAGGUUAUAUUGCCAUAUCUCAGAUCAAAAUUGCAUUCAAUCUACAAUAAAGAAAGAGAGGCUGCUCUUCAAGCUAGUUUAUGGGGCACUGAGGAUGAGAGAUUUGGUGACACUGAUUAUUUUGAUGGAGGUGGAAACUCCAUAGUUUCAACAAGCAGUUCAGAUACAGAAGAAUCAGUUAGAGAUCGUUUGAGAAAGAAAAUCCGUAAGAUCGUAGCUGUUUGCUACCCAUGGAUACAUGCUGGAAAUGAAGGUAUAUAUAGAGUAGUUUCUGACUUGUGAUUAUGACUAUGCUCCUGUUUUUUGUGUGUUCUGUUCAUUCUGUUUCACUAUUUGAAAUGAGAUGAAGUAGGUAAUCCUGUUCAUUCUAGUCAUGUAUUAAUCUCUCAUGCCACCUCUAAAUGGCCUUACCACCUGUCAAAUGUCAGGACGACCCAAACCUUCAAGGUGAAACCAGAGCAAUUUCAUCUGAAAAUGUUGUCUCCCCUUUAUCUGUUUGAGUUCUCAGUCCUGUAUAAAGUAAUUUCUCAUUAAAAUACGUACACAUUAUUUGCGAAGCUGUCCUCUUUAGUGAAGAUUUUAAGCAGGUCUUGAUGUGAUCGUUCACCUUCUUGUGUAUUUUUCCUGCAGGUUUAUCAUUUGCUUACCAGCUACUGUAUUUGCUGGAUGCUACUGGAUUUUACUCUCUAGGACUCCAUGCUCUUGGCAUUCAUGUCUGUCGGGCUACAGGACAGGAGCUGGUAUGUCUGCAGACAGUUUCAUGUUAGUAUCUGUCUAGGUCUGAAAGGUGUUAUUAGUUGGUAUCAGAAGUACAAAGCCUUUGGAGAAAUUGUAAUGCCUGGACUAUUAAAAAAUACAUGUAAGGUACCAGUGAAUCAGAAUAAAUUGCAAGAACUUUUAGGUACCCUAGCAUGAAACUUUGAAAGAUUAAUGAACUAAUGGUACAAUGUUAGUUGACUCAAUACGUUGGUGCCUAAUUUUAUUGUGUCUGACCAUCUAAAUGUGUUACAAGCGAUGUUAAAUCUUUGUAUCUGAAUAAUCAAUUGGAUAAUGUAAUUUUCUGAUGCGUUAAAGUUCCUUUCAGAAACUUGAACAUUGUGGAUAAUUCAGUUGAGAACUUCAGUUCUUUUCUGGUUUGAUUAUGAUUCUCAUGCUUACCUUAUAAAAGAAAAAAGUACUCUUGAGGAAGCAAUGCUUUAAGGCACACCCUUCAUAUUACCUUGAAUCACUGGAUAUAAGUUUCAAUCUAAGUCUUUAUUUAAAAGUUUCAAUUUAGAUUUGUAUCUAUCUCUCUUAACCAGUUGAACUUAUUUAUUGGGUAAUUCCUCUUUUAUAAAUUUUUGUUAUUUAUGAUUUUCCUUUAUGUGAUGUCAAGGUAGAUGGAUACUUCUUCUAGGAUUUCUAAAAUAAGAAGCCGUGAACGAGAGAGACUUCGUGGCCCCCCUUGGCUAAAGGUCUGUGUUCAUCCUGUAAAUCUCUUUUCUGUAUUUCUAUUCUUAUCCUCUUCCUUUUUAUUUUCUUUUUUUUGGGGGGAGGGGAAGGUAUUUGGAGCAGCAUGUUAUGUUAUGUGUAUCCCUUUUUUGCUUUUCUUUUUUGACAUUAAUUUUACUUCUUAGUUGAGGUCCCCGGUACUUGUUAAAAAAAAAUGGAGGUGCACUGUCUCUGUAGCCAAUAUUCUGAUCUUUAUUCUUUGAAUCCAUUAACAUUUCAGACAGUACAAAGUGCUUUACUAAGUUGUGCAUAUGGAGUUCUUGACUAUGCUCAAACUGGCCUAAUAGCGGCAGUGUUUUUCUUUAAAGUAAGUGUUGUUUAGCUCAAGUUUUGCUGCUUUUCUGAAUUGUUCCCUAGAGAUUAUUUUUCUUCUCCAGUUUUGUUGUGCUCAUGUAUCGAUGCUAUGAUUAUAUUUCCUUUUCUGUUUUCAAUGUACUCAGAUGAUGGAGUGGUGGUACCAGUCAGCAGAAGAAAGGAUGUCAGCUCCGACUGUUUAUCCACCCCCACCUCCUCCUCCACCUCCAAAGGUGAGUACAUUUCCAUUUGGGAUGAAAAUAGUCUUGCAAUUCGCUGUUUUGAAUAUGUCCCAUUUUUAUUUGUUCAUGGUUCUUAUUGGGUGAGAAAAUACAUUUGGUACUUUUUUUUUUAUGACAAGGGAAACCCGCAACUGCUACCCUUUGGGUGCGCACAGGGUAAAACCCCUGCUCCUAUGCAAUAGCUCACAAACCACAUAGGAGAGGUAACCCGCACUAGGCAAGCCCGGUGCGACAAGCUCGACCCAAAAGGCAAACCCCUUGCUUUUGCUGGCAAGGGGUUUCGAACUUGAGACCUCCAACAUGGAAGUCCCAAGCCCAAACCACUGGGCCACCCCGAAGGGUGAAAAUACAUUUGGUACUUGGUUGCAAAUAGAUGUUUAGCUCUGAAAAGUGUCAUCUGAUACAUGUUUUUUUGCCUUUUUCCAUUCAACCAUAAUUCUGAAACUUUAAUCUGUGGUCACUCAUCUCCGACUUGUCAUUUAUGCCAAUCCAUUUAAGCAGUUAACAGGAGCUGGAGUCAAGGAUCUAAUAUGAAUAUGAGUUAUGUGUUACGAUAUAUUGUGCAUUCUGUAUGGGAGAGCAUUACUGUGCCAAUAUUAAAUGAUUGGACUUGGCCAAUAAAGUUUCAUAUCUAAUAUAAAAACUCUCUUGCUUUGGCAUUGUUAAUAUAGUUUGUAGAAAUUAAUACCAGUAUCUGAGCCAAUUACCAAUUGGAAGCAGGCAAGAUGGUGACAAAUCAAAAUUUGUCUAAAUCCUCAACUAGCAAAUUAGUGUUAGCCUCCUUUGGAAAGUAACAACUUUUACAAACUAUUUCCUGUCUUGGUGAAAUGUGGAUCUGGAGAAAGUUCUUUCCGUUUUGGUCUUAAACUAGUUUCAUUAUGCAUAGAUGAAGUAGUUUUUUCUUGCAUUCCUGCUUAAAUGCUUAUGUAUAAUGUUUUUCAUUUAAGCAGGUUGCGAAAGAGGGAAUUCCACUACCUACAGACAGAACACUGUGUCCUUUGUGCUCACAAAAGCGUGCAAAUCCCUCAGUGGUGGCAGUUUCAGGAUUAGUCUUCUGCUAUUCCUGCGUUUUCCGAUAUGUCUCUCAGGUGAAAUUCCAGAAUCAGUUGAUAGAAUUCGUCUGGGAAACUAAAUCAUAAUCUCUAUGUUAAUUUGGUUUCUUUAUAGUUAAUAUUGCAAUGAUUUCUUUCCCUGCUAAUUGCAAACUGGAAAAAACUGCAAGGACUAUGGAUUUAAUUUUAUGUUAUAUGUUCAGAUUGUAUCAUGGUCGAGGAGCUAUUCCCAUGACAGCGGGCAUGACUACAUACUACUUUUCCUUUUUGCUAGCUUUUAGUAGAAUCGGGGAACUGAUUCGUCUAGACUUAUUCUUGAUUCCUUCUCUUUUCUUACACGAAUUCAACUUAUAUAUACUAGCAUGAAGUAAUUGUUACGCUAUCAAUGUACUUUAACUCGUUGUAGCAGGUUAUGUGCCUUAUUUUCUAGGUCUCUAAUUCCACUUAUUAUGGAUGGUUAUCUGAUUCUUUUACACUGUCAAUUCAUGCUCUAUUUUCUUUCUCUGCAGUAUAAGCGAUGCCCUGUGACAUUGAUGCCUGCAACUGUGGAUCAUAUCAGAAGACUAUUUCAUGAUGUUUAAUUUUAACUUCUGCCCAGGAUCAGAAGGGAUGAAUAAUAUAGGAAAAUAUGCUCUAAAUUGAGAUUAUAAGUGACACAUUUUUUACCUAGGCCCAAAUCAUGGCAUUAGUUGAGUGUAUUCUACUUUUGCACAAUUGUUGUAGUUCAAACUUUAGAAUUCAAAUAAUCACAAAAAAAUAAUUUAUUCGCAUCUGGUGUUUACACUAAAUUACUGUUCCUCGUUCUCGUUGGCCCUUGUAUGGCAUGAAGUAUUUUACUGAUGGAACCGUAGCUCGACUCAGUUUGAGUUGAAAUUCGAGUAGUAUGUGCCUUUCAGUUAAGUAUAUUUCUCUUGUAUUUAGGUACAUUCUAGUUCUAUUGACUAGACUUAUACCAAAUGCUAUUUAGUUUAUCUUUUCUUACUUCCCUUUAAAGCUUUUUAUACGUAGUCUCUCCGUGAAUGAGAAAGGUCAUGGGAAAAAACAUGUUUUCUCUCUGCGAGAUCUGAAAGUGGAGAAUGCAUAGCAAUUUAUGAGUACAUAGGAUUAAACAUUACACAAUUUUCCCUUGGUAAUAGGCAACAAAAGACUUUUAAGACUUGUUGGAUGGAGUGUGUAAAGUAAUUAAGCUCUUUUUACCUUCAUGAAGUGGAAAAUAUUAUCAUGAGUCGUAGUCUUAGUUCGGAGGAGAAUUGACCAUUCAAUCUUGUGAUCCAAUCGAGAUCGAAAUUGGAAAAAGAGAUGCAAAUGGAGAGGAAUAAUCAACCGAUGAGAGAACAUGAAACUAUUUUGUUUCAAUAGAGGUACGAGAAAUGGUUGGGGGCAAUGAAGUAAGUGAAGUGGUUGGUUUUGGCGAGUUGUUUCAACCAUUACUGGAUGUGAUUUCAAGAGCCAAACGAGAAUGAAUACCACACACAAAAAAAAAAAAGUCUAUACUGUUAUCAUGCAUUACAUGACUUGCACUUUUUAAUCUUUUCAAAACUACUUGAUAGUAAUAUUCUCAUAUUAUCUCUAUUGACAAUUUGACAUGAUUUAUUGUACUUUACUUGAUAUAAAAGAUGAUUCUUUUAUCUUUUAUACAAGGAGAAAGUAAAUGAAAAGGCAUGUGAAAUAAAUGUUGAUAUUAUAUAUAUUUGACUUGUGUGGUAAUAGUCUUUUUAAUUGUGUGUUCAUUUAAACGUCAUCACAAAAUCAAAAAAAUAUAUGGCUUAAUGAUUAACGAAAUGGAUAGAAAGUAAUGAAAUACAUACGUCAACACGUCUGCAUACACUUUAUAAUCUUCAAAUUAUACCAUGUGACUACACUAUAAAUAUGUUAUUAAUAUUGUGAUAAAUUAAUCGAGGUACGGAUAAAUUGAUUUAAAAAGAGUAAUAGUAGAGAGUAAUGACAAUAGACAAGUGAACUACCCCUUACCCCUACCCCCAAUAUAAACCCUCAAAACCCUCUAAACAAUCCCACAGCUCUCAAAAAACUCCAUCAAUGGCCUCCAAAAUCACCAAAUCCAUCUCUAGAACCCUCUACACUUAUCGUUUAUCUCCUCGUUUCCUCUCCUCCGCUUCAUCGCCGUCGAUUACUCAACCGCCGCCACUUCCUGCCGUCGGAUCUUCACCUCAGCCGUCAUUUCUGCUUUCACACUCCCUUCUACCUACUAACCCUAAUGGCCUAAAGCCGUUUAGCCUCAAUACGGUACGGUUCCGAGUGAACCGGUCCGGUAGCUCACCUUACACUCCAGGAACCGGCGACCGAGCUCCGACUGAGAUGGCACCACUGUUUCCGGGAUGCGAUUACGAGCACUGGCUCAUUGUUAUGGAUAAGCCUGGUGGAGAAGGAGCUCAUAAACAGCAAAUGAUUGAUUGUUAUGUCCAAACCCUUGCUAAAGUCCUCGGGAGGUGAUAAAAACAUUAUCUUUUUAGUUAAAAAAAAUUAUUUGACAGCUUCUCAAAUGGAUACUCCAUCGUGUUCAUGUUCAUAACCAAUUAUCUUUUUUAGUUGAGUAUGUUAACAAACUUGGUUGACUUUCAGAUAGUGUUAGUGUUGGUUUUCUUGUAUGGGGAGAGUAAAGUGUGCCUAGAUGGACUCAUAUGUGUUAUUCUGUUCUUGUGAUGCAGGAGUUAUUGAGGAUUUAUAUAACCUACCCUGACUAGUUUAGGAUUAAUGCGGAAUAGUAGUAGCAGCAGUAUACUUAUUCAUGUAGUCUCUUUUGCAUGUGUAGUGAAGAGGAAGCAAAAAAGAAGAUUUACAAUGUCUCAUGUGAGAGGUACUUUGGUUUCGGGUGUGAAGUUGAUGAAGAGACUGCUAAUAAAAUGGAAGGUCUGUUGAAAAUGCUUUGCUAUCAUUAUUUUUCUUGCAAUAGCCAUCAGUUCAUAUUAAAGAAUUGACUUGGAAUGUUUGCUGCAAUAGGUUUGCCAGGUGUUCUGUUUGUGCUGCCCGAUUCCUAUGUUGAUCCUGAAUACAAGGAUUAUGGAGGUAAACAUUCUUUUAACAAUUGCUUGCUCUUUGUUUGGCAGUAGAUUCAAGUUCCGUAAGGUAUUAGGAGUAUGACCCAAUAACUAGAAUCAAAUAAUGCAUAAAAGAAGUCUACUCUUGCUAAAAGUUUCUUUAAAUUGUCGCCUUUAUCAUUUAUGCGUAACUCUGUCCAAAAAAUAAUCCAACCCUUAAUUUGAAUUGUUAACUCUAUGGUUUGUCUCACCAAUAUGAACAUUCAGAGGCAACAAAACUUAGAUCAAUGUUGGGUUCUUUGAAGAAUAUAGGAGUAGUAUCUGGGGUUUCUUUUACAUAAUGAAGGUAUCUUAGCAAGGUCAAAGAAGAUCUUGGAGGGGGCAUUGUGUGUAGAAAGACUAGAAGAACAAACUUUUGAUUGGUAGGCUCUAUGAGUUGCUUGGAGAUAUAGUCAGAAUAAUUGGUAGCGGAGAGAAAUUUUUUAAGAUGUCUACUAAGUCAAAAUAUAAAGAAAUGUAAUAUUUUGAAGAUUUCAGUACUUAAAUAUAUAAUUGUUUUUCGUAGAAAGUUGUCAAUAAUUUGGUGAUAGCCCAAAGCAGGAAUAGGUCUAGUGAAUUAGGAGAGGAUAUAUUAUCGAUGGGUAAAGGGUUGGUACAUUGAGCAUGAGGUUUCUAAUCAUAUUCAGCAGUAAGUGCACUAUCAUGCAAGGUUUUUUAAAUAUGUGAAUUCACAAUGCUGUCGCAUCUGCCUUAGCAUACUCAUCCACUUUGUAUUUUGUAGAACAUGCCUUAAGAAGGAUGGAUUUAUCGGGUGGCUAGGAGGGAAUAUAGCCCCCCAUUUCAUAAGGGAUAUUGAUUGUUGCCAAGAUACCUUAUGUCCUUAUCUUUAACCCAUUCACAUCUUGCCUCUUAUUAGCUUUCCAUGCUAAGCCCAAAACAAUAUCAAAUUUUGCUCUAAACCGGUACAAAUCAUGUGUGUGUUACCAUGUGCCUGUUUCUCUUGACUUUUCAGAAGAGGUUCUUUGUUUCCUACUAAUGAACUGAUAGUAUAUGCUUACCUAGAAGUGUUCUGAUUUUGAAGCUUCUAAAUUUUAUGGAUGCUUCCCUGUAAUCGUUGCUUUAAGGGUGUGGUUUUUCUUACUUUGAUGAACUCAUAACAUAAUGAGUUCGAUCAGGAAUUUCUAUCUGAAAAGAAUGCUGUGUUGGAUUGAGGCGAAGUUGUUAUCCUUGUAUUGUAUUUUAAGUUCACUCUCAGUCUGUGAGUUAAAUGGUUUCUUCAAGAUCUCCUCUUACAAUUGCGAAAAACACAGAUUGUCUUACUGGAAAAUAGCAAGUCCCCCCUCCCCCACAAGAAAAAAUGAACCAGGCCAAAUUGGUUCAUCAGAGAAAUUGUUACGUCUGUGACAUGGCCCUCCUGAUUUUGUCUUGUUACAUUAUUAUUAUUCAUUUGGCUUAAGGGUUUAGAUUCAUGUUGGUAAAUACUAGUUUUAACCCUUUAUUAGCUCUUACUCCAAUAACUUCGAUGACUGAUGCGUAUGAUUUUGCCAUGACAAUGAUCUUAUACUAUCCUUGCAGCUGAACUUUUUGUCAAUGGGGAGAUAGUUCAAAGAUCACCUGAACGACAGAGGAGAGUAGAGCCUGUCCCUCAGCGUAACGACAGAAUAAGACCCAAUAGAUACAACAGGCGCAGAGAUAACAUGCGAUGAAUUAUAUCAACGUAAGGAAGAUUCAGUGGGUUUGACUCGUAUUGCACGGGUGUGUGGAAAUUCAUGUGUUAGAAUCUUGAUACUUUUGUUUCCAAGUCGGAACAUGUCUUUAAUCAAACUAUGUGCCUGGAGUUGCUUUAUUUCUCAUUUCAAACUAGUAGUCCUUCAUCUUCUAAGUUAUGAAGACUUGUCUUAAAAUUUCCCAGAUGUAUAUACUACUAUGAGAUAAUUUUUAAAAUCUAGUACGAUUGUCUGUGCUAAUAUGACAUUUUGUCAGUGAAACCUUUCAGUCCAAAGGCUCUGCAUUUUGUGACCAACGACUUGGUAUAACUCCAUUUUUAACUAGUUAUUGUGCGGUUCAUAAGCAUAGUGUGGAGUUAUCGCCAAAUUGAAACGGCAAGGGCAUUCUUUGUGUAUUAACUGGCCCAAGGUGAAAGUGGAGUUACUAUGUUAGUUAAUUAUUUACGCAAUUGCUGAGUCUAAGUUUGAAAGAUCAUAGGAAAGUUGUUUUCGUGUGACCUAUUGCCCAUGGGUUCAUGUUCCUAUUAGGGUAGGAUGUCUACGUCACAUUUUUUGGAGUGUGGUUCUUCCCAGAAUCUUGCGUGAAUGAAGAAGACUUUGUGCACCGGGCUGGUCGAGACAAUUCCAAGUAGGAGUCACUGGAAGAAAUGUACAGAAGCAUUUUAGCAGAACACGAGCAAUAUGUCAAAUAAGGUCGAACAGAAAUGUAGUUUUGAUUGUUUGAAGCACCUAACAUGUCUUAGCUGUACGUGAAGGAUGGUACCAAUAUUAAUGUAAAUAUGAACUUUUGCGUUAAAGGGGAUUCAAGAUUUAGACGUUGUGCGUUAUAAAUUGAAAAUGUCAGUCCCUUUCCUUUCUCUAAUCCAAUUGAAAAUGUCAGUCCCUUUCCUUUCUCUAAUCCACCGCCUUCUUUGCUUUGUUCCAAAUAAGAGUUUCAAGGCAAAGUGGUUUGUUGCCUACUUUACCUACUUGAUGACUUUCUCCAUUCCAAUCACUUCUUUGCUUUGUUCCAAUAGAGUCCCAAGGCAAAGUGGUUUAUAUGCCUACUUUACCUACUUCACGAAAGGGAAUGAAUGCCUACUUUACCUACUUGACAAAAGGGAAUGCUUACUUUACCUACUUCACGAAAGGGAACAAAUGCCUACUUUACCUACUUGGAGAGUCUAAAGGCAAAGUGGUUCGUAUGCCUACUUCAUGAAAGGGAACGAAUGCCUACUUUACCUACUUGACAAAAGGGAACGACAAUGCUGAGACAUUACGGGUUUUGAGGACAAGCAUAUAUAGCACUACAUAUUAGCAAAGCACUUCAAGAAUCAAGAUCAUUAUAAAAGGAAAAAAGAACUCACAAGCACAGUAGGCUGUUUUAAAAUGUAAAGCUCUUUACAAAUUGAAUCUAUUUUUAACUGGCCAAGCACAAACUAAUCUCCUCUUUCAAAGUCUACAAAGAAAGAAAAUCUUUAAAACGAUACAACUUGUAUGUCACUCUCAUGGUACUACUACUUCGCUGUCAUUCACCCAGGAGUAUUUAACCUUGCAAGGAUGUCCUUGCUGAUUCACACGGGAUUCCACAUGCCCCAUGCUACUCGGGUCAGACCAUAAGCUAGUGAUACUCUCGCCAAGAAAUCUCUGACAAAAUCCGCCUGAUGUACUUAGCUGGAAACACUAAGAAGAAAAUGAUGUUUUGUAAGCUUUCACAUUAAUUUAAGGUACAACAAUGGCAGAAGAUAAAUAUUCUCUGAUACAAUAAAGAGGCAAACUCCUAAAGCUUGCCCCCAGGAGCUUUACCUCUUCUUUCUAUGGUAAGUAGGAGAGAAGAAAUCCUGUCGCUGUUAUUCUUCAACAUCCUCACUUGUCUGCUGCCCAUUCUCUGGAUUUCUAGCGGCACUAUGCUUUUUAUGCUUCUUGUUCCUAGCUUUCUUGGCUUUCAUACGGCGUUUUUUCUCAUUUGCAUCAACCCAAACAUAAUCUGAAGGUAUACGGAAAGGGUCAAUCUCAUCCUGGAAACUGUGGUUUCUACUGUCGCUAGAUAGCUCAUCACGGUUCCCUUUCAUCCAUGAAAUCCAUGAUGUAGAGCCAUCAGAUUCCUUAGACUUAGCAUCUUGGAAAUUUGUAGGACUUGAAAGAGGGGUUGAAAAUUCGUCCACUGGUUCGAGCUCUUCAAACUUUGUAAAUGUAACAAGAACUCGAAUUGUAGGAACAAUAGGGAUAGCAACCUGGAGUGCAGUAGACUCUUGUAAGUUAUGAGGAAAACUUCAUCAUACAGUCGCAUAAGAAUGCAGUUCAAUUACUAUCCAUCAAAUUCACAAGUAUGAAUGUCAACUGGAUUGAAGGAAUAGUUUCCCAUCACCAACUAUGAUACACACAAUAAGUACGAAAAUUGAGAUUCUCCGAUAGAUCUAACAAAUCAUAAUUAGGUUGCUACAAACCAAAUUUAACUUCUUACAACGACCAUCACCUUGAAACUUCUAUCCCAAGUUGCACUGGUUAUAAGUUUCAUGGAUAGUCAUUAAUCACUUAACUUUCAUUGCACUAAAGUCACCAUACCUUUUUUUGACAACUGUGGUCUUAGGACAAACAUGCACAACUCAAUUAAUUUCACGGGGUAUCUGCUGCCUUCCACCAACACAAGUAUCACGUAACUUUGUCCACCAAGACUUAGACAAAUGGGAAGAAAUCAUCUAGUAUUUUUGUCUCCACUAGAAUUUCAAUCAGAGACCUCAUGGUUCUCAACCCACUUCACCACUAGGUCACACCCAUGAGUCACUGUAUUAUUUUUUGUAAUAAAAAAAUGAGUCGACUUCAUCUAAGUACCACGAAAGUCACUAAACCAUUCUCUGUAACAAAAAAGUCACUCCACUUUACCUAAGUAUCACAUAAAGUCAUUAGAACUAGGAGGAAACAAACAGACACAUUCUAUAUCAUACUUGGGCAAAGUUGAAUAUCUUUUUAGCAACAAAAAAGAUAGUUUCUUUCCAUGAUACUUGGCAAAAUUCUUUUGUUACAAAAAAUAGUUUAAUGACUUUGGUGCAAUAACAUAAAAGUUGAGUGGCCAUUUGUGAAAUUAUCCCUAAAUUGCAUAGUGACUUAUAUAUUCUGUUUUUGAUAUUGCAAUGAUAAUUAUUUAAGCUUAUAAGAUUAAGUCCAUAUAAUAAUUUGAAACUUACUUUGCCAUAUAGACGAUUUACAAGCCAAGACAUUAACUAUUUCUGAUCCCUAUAAUAAAAUGUUGGAUAUCUGAUGAUAAUAUUAAUCAACUGACAAAUACUUUGAGCAUCCACUACACACAAUUACAACCAUAAUAGAGAAAUCUUCACUUCCAUUAUUCAGCAAAAAGUCAAACAUAUCUGGUUUAGCCAUUUUUAAGCAUCUUAUCAGGUCAAGAGUUACAGAUUAUCAAUAGAUUUCCACAUUAUCAGGCAAUACCUUCUUUCUUACAGGUGAUAAGUAAAAUAGUUCUGUAAAAGCAGCAGCAGAAAACACAUAAUAUAAUCACAACAAGAGUCAGAAAGAGCUGGUUUUUCAGGCAGAGGCACGAAAAACUCUUAACAUGACAUAUGCUCAGGAUUAUUACCUCGACAAAACUCUUUGCCAUUCUACAUUAAAUUUGAACAUAGAUCUUUUGGUAGGUUUUGGGAGUUAUUAGGUUGUAUUUGCUGCAAGCACAAAUGAGAAGCGAGAAACAAUGCUAUAUUAGGUUACAGGAACUUUGUUUUUAAAAUAAUGGCAGCUUAUGGGAACUUACCUAAUAACACAUUUCCAUCACAUCAGGAAAACUUGACAAUUUAUAAAGGACAGGUCUCUCUUAGUAGUUAGUAGUCACUAAACCAUGAUAAAAUAUAUCUACAGAGUACCACUAUCAGAUGAAAAUGUUGGAAGGUCCGUCAAAUAACUAUUGACAAUGGCAACAUGAUCCUCAAUUUCCCUGCUAGAUUCAACUGUCUCAACUUGGACAUCAUCAUACACCCCAGACAGCUGAAUCAUGUAACUGAUUGUCAUUCUUUUGAAGUAAAUGCAUCAGCCAUCUGUUGGUUCAUGAUAUGAAUGUCACUGCAUGACUUGGAUAUCAUGAACCCCAGGCACAAUUGCAUUUAUGAGGUGAUAUAGUAGUAUCAAUGAAAUCUUUUACUUGAUUAAAAACGAACCCCCCCCUCCCCAACACACACACACACACCACCUUCGGCAUUUAAGUAUAAGCCAUGUAGAGAAGGGAAACGACAGAGCAAAACUACUGAAGAAAGCACAAGAACGAUGAGAAGAAAAAUGGAAAAAGAAUAACAAGAUAGAUCCUAGAGAGAGAGAGAGAGUAUCAAGUACCUUGACAGGAAAUGUGCCAGGAGGUAAUUUCGUAGUUAAAAGCUCCCUUAAUCUUCUGACAGCUUUAACCUUGUUGGCUAGAAUGUCAAGCAAUGGCAAUAGUUCUUCUGUUUUCAGUGGGAAGUCUGGCGUCAACCACAAAACAGGUCUUAAUCCUUUUUUAUACUCACUUUCGGUCUUAGGCUCACCUAUGGUUCCUUUCUUCUUUUUCUUCUUGCUGCUCUUAUCUUUGCUCCUUUUACCAUCCCCAGAAUCCUCCCGAGGAACUUCAGAUGAUGAUGCAUGAUUGUCAUUUGGUCUCAGCUUGCUAUCCUCUGGGGCCAGCUUUGAGAACUUCUUUACAAGCUUUGAGUCCUCUGAAUCAUCACUAGUGUCUUUAGGGCCUUUUUUGCUCCAACCAAACCAACUUUUCUUCUCCUUUGUAACACCAUUGGAUUCACAACUCUGAAAUGAACCUCCAUCAGAGUUUCCAUGGAAAUCGUGAACUUCAGGCUCUUCAUACUCACCAGGUCCAUCUGAAUUGCCCAUUCGAAGUGCAGAAUCUAACUGCAUUCUUUCUUCAGCUGUUAAUGCAUCAUCAUAAUCAUCAUCACCACCAUUCACUACUUUCUCAUCAUCAUUCACUGUAAAGAGCUCCUCAUCAGUUAUAGCACCAGGAACGCGCCUUGAUUUUACGCUGACCAUGACAUUAAGCAUAUCAUACACCUUUGCCUUCCAGGUACCAACCAUCUCAGACCUCUCCUGUCUCCUCCAAUUUAAGUGGGGAAUAAGCUCCGCCUGGGUGACAUCAAUUCCUGGUCUAUACAUAUUUGUUUGGGACAUCAAUGCCACUUCACGAGCAACUUCAGCUUCUGAUGGUUGCACACCAGCUCCCUCUAACGCAUUUGUAAUCUCUUUCUCCUUAUGAGCAAGCACAAUCAAAGAACCAGGACUCAAAGAUCUGUUCCCAUCUUCUGAUGAAUACCCUUCUCCAAGAAAGAGGAAAGUUUGAUCUGAACGUUGAAUGCGGAACCCAUCAAAUCCUGCAAGAGUCAUAUCUGCACGAAGAUUAGAACCCCGUUUCCAAAUCCGGUAAGUGUCUGACGGAGCAAUCCGUCCAAUGAAUGGUAUUACCGAGCUCUCAAAGUGAAAGGUUAUCUCCAUGUAGAAAUCACGAAUCCGACCAGCUGAGGCAACAAUCCUAGGAAGUCUGCGGCACCACUUGGCCCAGGCAAGGGGCUGAUAAUGCCUAGCAAUAAUCAUAGCAAUAUUCUCCUCCUUGGUACACACUGCUUCCUGGAGAGCACUCCACCCAUUCUCAUUCUGAAGACUCCAAUCAGCACCUGCAGCCAUUAAAAUCUCAGCCGAGACAGGAUCCCUCAUCCGAACAGCAAGGUGCAACGGGGUUUCACGGCCAGGAACAUCCCGCCUAUCAAUUACUGCAGAAACAGAAUCUGCAUUAAGCUCAGCAGCCAGAGACUCCGUCUCAGUGUUCACUUCACCAGCCUUGGACAGUUGAGGAAGGUCAGCAACUAUUCUUUUCAAUGUAGCAUAGUCUCGCUUAGCCACAGCCAAAUGAGCUGGACUGUGAACGUACUUGGACCAAUCUUCCAUUGGUUUCUCUUCAACUCUACCCUCUUCCUUUCCAAAGUACUAGGAAUAAGCUAGAAUUCACCCAUCUAUCACCUCAAAUCAUAUAUGACUUUCUGUCACUGACCUUCAAUUAAAUCAGUUUUCUUCUUAAAUCUUGCUCAGAAUUAAAAGUAAGGAUUACCCAAGAUCAAAGAAUUGAUUUUUUCUUGGAUUUUCACUAUAGAUGUCGGCUUGAGCUCCCACGUACUUCACCAAUUACAUCAGUGCAAAAUUUGCUGAAACACAAACACCAUUAUGCCCUGAACUCCAGUAUCACUAAGCUCAAAUCUGAAAAAAGGAAAAAAAAUAAAUUCUUCUCCCUCCCCAAGAAAAACAACAACAUACCCAGUAUAGUCCUACAAAGUGGGGUCCGAGGUGGGUAGAGUGUAUACAGCACACCUUACCCGGUUACCCCUACCUCAGGGUAGAGAGAUUGUUUCCCAUAAACACUCUACUCAAGAAAAACAGUCCACCCCACGAAAAAUAAGAUUAUUACUAUUUCAAACACACAUCUAAAUUCUCUUUAACCAUAAUUUUUCUCAAAUCUAAAAAAAACAUAACAAUAAUAGUACACUUUUUAUGCAGUUUCUAAGCACAGAUUCUAUUUCCAAAAACUCAAUUGACAAAGGGACAUUACAUACUCAUCGAUCUAACUCCACUUUACUGCUUCAAUCUUUGUAACACAAUUCAACAUAAAAAUACCCAAAUCAAUACAUACAACCCAUAAACACAAAAAUACACAUAAAACCCACAAACAAAAACUAAAACUUUACAGCAAACCCAAAUUAAUACAUACAACCUAUAAACACAAAUUAUACACAAAACUCACAAAUAAAAACCAACACUUUACAGCAAAACCCAAAUCAAUACAUACAACCUAUAAACACAAAUUAUACACAAAACUCACAAAUAAAAACCAACACUUUACCUCAAAAUUUCGAUUACAGCAAAAAAGGGGUUUGUGCUGACGGAUUUCCAAGAUUUAUUGAGGGGGUAAAAGCGGGAUUUUUUUUGUUGUAGAGAGAGAAAGUACAAAAAUUUCUACAAUUUCUGCCUCAAAUAGCAAAAGGGUUUUACUUUCUCUCUCUAGAAAUUGAUAUGUAUGUAUAGAUUUCUGCAAUUUCUGGUUUGCUGCUAUACCUUACUGGCUUUUGUGUACUGUAGUUUUGCUGUUUCUGUACAACGAUUUAACUGUUUGCCCCUCGAUUUUGCACUAAAUUACGGAAUUGCCUUUUGCUAGUUUCACUGUAAAGCGCGUGGAUUACUUUUUGCUGGACCCAGCGUGCCAAUGACUCUAUGAGGGUAUUUUUGGAAGAAUAAAUUUAAAUAGCCAUCGACUCAAUCGCUUAUAAAAAAAAAAUAUCGACGAAUGUAUAAUAAAUAAACAAGAUAUGAUAUUCAAUAUAUAAUGUGUGUAUAUUGAUUAAAAAUAUAAAUAAUGAGUUUAUACCAAACUGUCAAAUUUUGUUAAAUUCGUAAUAAAUAUGUUAAUUCUAUCUUAAAUUCAGUCGAUUUUCUUUUUUUAAUAGGUCAUGAGUUUGACUCAACGAAUUUCUAGAAAACGAAAAGUGAUCUUAUUUUUACUGGGUCCGAUAAAGAUUAAAAAUCUUGAGCGAAUUAGAGAGUUUUGUAAGACUCAUUAAAGAGUAAACACUUAUUAUUAUGAUCUUUCCAUUUUUAAAACUUGAACAUUUAAACUCAAAAUCUUAUUCUAAUUAAGAUUACUUUUAGAUAGAUAGUGAGAACAAUUUCAAUUAUUAUAGCCACAUGCUAAUGGUCAAAUUUUGAAUUUUCUUUUACCUUAUUGAAUAUAAAAAUUCUUUUUUAGUCUAACCUAAAUACUGAAUCUACUGAUUAAGUCAUUGGAUCCUUUUUAAAGGAAUUAUUUAAGAGUAACUAAUUUCCAAUAAUGUCAAUGUUUCUCCAUUUUGAAAAAAUAUAAUUUAAUAAAUAAAUUAGGUGAGGCAUUAAUUAAAU